rnacentral:lncRNA from 1 species
CAGUUUGAUGUCUCAAAGCCUCAAGUGUCAUUUUGGGAGCUGUCACGGAAAUAUGGCCCCCUCAUGUCCUUGCGUCUUGGUUUUGUGCCAUCCCUAGUAGUUUCCUCAGCAAAAAUGGCUAAAGAGAUAUUAAAAACCCAUGAUCUUCAAUUUUGUAGCAGGCCAGCCUUGGUAGGACAACAAAAGUUAUCUUACAAUGGUCUUGAUUUGGUAUUUUCACCCUAUGAUGAAUAUUGGAGAGAGAUAAGAAAAAUUUGUGUCAUUCAUCUCUUUAACUCUAAUAGGGUACAAAAUUUUCGACCCAUUAGAGAAGAUGAAGUUUCAAGAAUGAUUGAAAAGAUUUCAAAAUCAGUUGCUGCUUCUAAUCCCGUAAACUUAAGUGAGGUAAUGAUGUCUCUUACCAGCACCAUUAUUUGUAGAAUUGGUUUUGGCAAGAGGUACGAUGAAGAUAAAGCAACAAGUGGAAGAAGUAGAUUCCAUGCCAUGCUUAAUGAAACUCAAGCCUUGUUUGUAAGCUUUUUUGUUACAGAUUAUUUUCCUUUCAUGGGCUGGAUUGAUAAGCUCACAGGAAUGAUGCAACGCCUGCAAAAUAACUUCCAAGAAUUCGAUAGAUUCUACCAGGAACUCAUCAACGAGCAUUUGGAUCCAAACAGAACUAAAUCAGAAUUGCCGCAACCGGAGGAUAUAAUUGAUAUUUUACUUCAAAUACGAAAAGAUCGUGGAUUUAAAGUUGACUUGACUUUGGAUCACAUCAAAGCAGUGCUCAUGGUGAAUAAUUUUAUAAAUAGUUAUAUGUAGACUCGUGCUUAGGCGCAGACUCAAAAUUUUGCGCAGAUACCCAAUUUUACAGUCUUGUAAAAUGUUUUAUAAUGCUGUAAAGUGCCCUUUGACGUCCACCUGAGCAUGAUUAAUUUAAUAUAAUUUUAUUUGCUUUUAAGUAAUUUAAUAUGUAUAUAUGUAUGUUGUUUGUUUUGCAGAACGUAUUCGUUGCUGGAACAGACACGAGUGCAGCAACUGUGGUUUGGGCCAUGACUUACCUAAUGAAGAAUCCUAGAGCAAUGAAAAAAGUUCAACAGGAAAUCAGAUCGUUGAUUGGGGGUAACAAAGGCUUUGUAAAUGAAGAUGAUGUUCAAGAACUACAUUAUCUUAAAGCGGUAGUGAAGGAGACAAUGAGAUUGCAACCCACAGUGCCAUUACUAGUCCCAAGAGAAACAAUUGAAAAGUGCGUAAUAGAUGGGUAUGAAAUACCAGCUAAAACACUUGUCUUUGUAAAUGCAUGGGCGAUAGGAAGAGACCCUGAAGCUUGGGAGAAUCCGGAGGAAUUUUAUCCGGAGAGAUUCGUUGAUAGCUUUAUUGACUUUAAAGGGCAACACUUUGAGUUAAUACCGUUUGGUGCUGGCAGAAGAAUUUGUCCUGGGUUGAAUAUGGGAAUCGCAACUGUGGAUCUUGCACUUGCUAAUCUUCUUUACAAAUUUGAUUGGGAAAUGCCGCCUGGAAUGAAGAGCCAAGACUUGGACUUUGAUGUUCUGCCUGGAAUUACUAUGCAUAAGAAGAAUGCUCUCUCUCUUUUGGCCAAGUAUCAUGAGUAGGUAAAUUAAGGCACCUUGGUCAAUAAGAGUUUGAUCUAAACUAAAUGUAUGUUAUAGAGAUUGCAUGUAUGUCCUCAAUUGUGCUUCUCAUGUUUCCUUUCUUUCUUCUUAUGUAUAAUGAAUGUUGAUGUCUAUGUGCCCAUAGGCUGAGUGGUUUUUAAUAAUUAAAUUUCUUUUAGUUCAAAAUUUUGGGAGGUAAGGACUAGAGAAUAAUGGUUACUCUGCUCACUCUCCUAUACUAAUAAAAAAAAAAGUUGAUAUGAAUGUGAAUAUUAAUCUACUACAUUCAUUUCGUCUCAUAUUUUUUCCCCUAUAUUUUUUGCUUUAGAUUUAACUUCUAUCACUUAAACUGCUAUCUUUUUAUAUGAUUGGAUAGAGAUUGAAAUUUUUGCUGUUCCAUCUCAAUGUUAAUGCUAAUUUUAUCUUCACACCUUUACUGUAAUUUUCUACUUUUACUAUUAGAUGCUGAUAGGGUCUUUUCUUGGAGAUUACUUUACCAAAAAAAGUCUGAAAGAAGAUUUUAUAUCGAUCGGAUAGCAAGCUUGUCCAUAUAGUUUAUGGAUUAUCUGCAAGAGCUCUUUUUAGUGCGCAUACGGUUGUCCCUUCAUGUUAGCAUAUUUAUUCUGUCAUCAAUGAACUUUUGCAUUUAAAUGGUAUCAGUUCAAGUGAUGAAUGAAUUUUACCUAUUGCCUAUCUUGGACUAAAUUUAAUUUCAAAAAAUGAGCUUCCAGCUUAUGACUUAUACGUAUCUUGAACUUUGGUUUUACGAUCACCGUUGGAUGGAAGAGUGGCUUGAGUUUGUUAAUUGCUUCAGUCCCAGGACUAGUGUUUGGAAACAUAAAAUUUAACACUCCCCAAAAUAAUUCAAUAUACAACCAACUCCGAUGAUCAACAUCCUCAACCAAAAUUCUAAGUUUUACUCAAGAUAUCUCCAGAGUCUCAAAAGAUAAUAUUAUAACUAAUAUUAAUAUACCUCAGUUUAUUCUUAAUCCCAAAAGAAUAAUAUAACAAAAUUAUACAAUCUAAAAAGAACAAGAUAACUAUGAUAUCCUAAUAAAAAAAAUCAUCUAUAUCUUCUAACACCAUCACGUGGCCAAGAUUCAAAAUAUAUUUACAGUCGCUGGGUCGGUUUGGUGUACCUGCAACCUCCUGGUGGGAGGAGGGAAUAGAAUAAAAGCGGGAUGAGUAUAAAACUCAGUGAGAUCAGUGAGUGGAUAGUAGUUUUCGAAAAAUUAAUUCUUACUUUAAAAGAAAUAAUUAUAUCAUUUCCAAACACGAUUUCAUCAAACCAUAUGCGAGAAACCAAUAAUAAAUCAUUUAACAUUUAAAUCAGAUUACUAAUCAUGAAAAUCAUAUAUAAUAUCAUGCCUAAUAACUAUGGAAAUCAUAUCACAAUAUCAUAUAAAAUACACAAAUCUGAAAAUCAUCACCAAACAAGUACCCAAGGGAAAAAUCUCGUCGUAUCCGGACCUCAACGGACGGGCAAUGACGUACUAUCUAGGUACUACCAUGCCCCAGAGCUACAUGGAUAGACAUGAAAAUACCAUCUCAUAUCUCAUCAUAUCUCAUUAUAUCUGUGCAUGCAUAAUCUAGUCCCCAAAGGAUAAAAUCGCCCAAGCACACGGCCCAAAGCCUCUGUGUGUACUCAGACGAAUUCCAAAGGCAUGUAUCUCAUCUAUAUCAUAUGUAUCUCAAUAUAUGUCUGUAUCUCAUAUUUGUAUCUCUAUAAUCAUCAUACCGCAUGCAUAUGCCCCCAAAAAGCAAAAGCGCCAAAACACACGGCCCAAAAUCUCUAUGUGUGUUUAGAUAGGCCCCAAAUGCCUCUUAUCUCAUCUGUAUCACUGUAUCUGGAGGGAAGGAUAUUGUCCAAUGAUUUUAAAAACAAUCUCUAUACUCAUAUUCAUAUACAUUCUAAUUAUACAUUUCUUUCUUUAUCACAUCUAAAUAUAUUUUUCUCAUCUUUAAAAUACUGUCAUAUUUUAUUCAAUGUUGAUACGAAAAAUCAUUAACCAAACAUUUUAAUAUAAUAUCAAUGCGUGUAUAAAAUCCAUUAUGAGGAAAUCAUUAAAUCAGAACAUUUAAAAUACUAUUUUCGCAAACGUGAUUUACUAUCAUAAUUAAUUAUGAAAAUAUGUUUUGUAUAUUUUACUCACAGCGACAGUGUUCACGCUCGGUUAUCGUCCACGUCUGCGAAUCGGUUCUCGCUCACAGAUCCUCCUAAAUAAAAGAAACGGCAUAAUUAUUUUCUGUAAAUCAGAAUUAAGACUAAAUUUAUGCAAUAAACUCGAAACGAACAUCUAUCCAUAAUUUACAACUCCCGUAUCGAUAGAAUUACUGAAAUACCCUCAAAUAUGUAAAUCGUUAAAAUACUCCAAAAUCGUAAAUUAUCGAAUUACCCUCGGAAUCGUAAUUACACCCAAUCCUCAAUUUCAGAAAUUACUAAAAUAUCCACAAGCUCAAAAAUUACAAAAUUACCCUCAGAGUGUGAAAUUACUGAAAUGUCAUUGUCGGUCAACGGUCACUGGAAUUUAGUCAACGCUGUCCGGGAAGCUCAAGUAUAAAAGUUCCAAUAACGCUGAGUCUAAUAGUGCCGGCGGUGAGGUCCCACAUGCGGCAACGACGCCGUGAAUUUCCAACAAUUGGCCGGCGGCGAAACAGUGACUCCCGGUGACUGUAGAUGGUCAGGAAUUGAAGAGGGAGUUGUGGGGAACAAAAGUGAGGUGGUGGCGUGGUCAAAUUCCAAUAGAAUCAACGGCAAUGGUAUGGGUUUUGGCCGCGGUUUCUCAAGCUUGAAACGGCGACGAUCCCGUCUGCUUUCAGCGACAAUGACGACUGGGUAUGAUGGCCGGUCUUCAAGCUUCAGAUUGGUACCAAGCUUGACCGGUGGGGUGGCCAGAAUCGCAAGAUAUGGCCGGGUCAAUUUCGGGUCAAAACGGUCGGGUUUUUGGGUCGGUUUUGACAGCUUCUCUCUCACUCUCUCACACGUGUGUCUCUGUUUCCCCUGUUUUCCAGCUUCCUCUUUCAUUUAUUUUAACUUUUUAACCGCCUCAUUUUUUUAUUUACUUUUUCACAUAUGUUACAGAAUAACUUAAUCUUUUGCUAUUUUAUUACGUUCAGUUUAUAUACAGCUGAUUCAUUGUAACAAAUGUUAUCAUAAAUAACCACUCGGGCAGUAGCCCGAGUGGCCAGGGCUGCUGCCCUCCAACAAGUUGGAGGGCAGCAGUUCGAACCCCCACAAAAAUAUUGUGGGGGUAUUUCUUUCCUCAAUUAAUUUGAGUGAAGGUAGUCUUCUCUCUUACCCAUGAGUGAGGAGUAGACAUCCCUCGAAUAUUUGUGAGGGUUAAAAUCUGGGCAGAGCUCCAUUAGCAUUGAUGUCAGUUGGUCCCAGUAAUAGUCUGAUUUGUAAAUAUCAGUAAUAGUCUCAUGUAUAUGAGUUGUAAUCUGAGCAAUAGUCUCAUGUAAUCAAAAAAAAAAAAUGUUAUCAUAAAUGAUUCUCGAGUAAUUUCAUUUAUUUACUUUUUCUUCUUUCACAGUUGGCCUGUACGGUAUCAUUUACUUUUAUCUUUUUUCAAAUUUCUUUUAAUCUAGAGAAUGUUUGUUUUAGUCCUGAUCUUGGGUUACUGAAAUGUUUCAUUCCCUUUUCCUAAGUAUUUUUGUUGCUUGUUUAGCGGGCAAUACUGCAACAGUGAUUUCAAUUCACAAAAUUCUGUAAAUACUUAUUAUUCUUAGUGUGGUUUUAAGGUAGAGUGAACUUAAUAUUAUCAUAAUGGCUUACAUCCCUCCACAUAUGAGGCAUACUACGGACCCCCAGAGGCCAUCUCCAGUUCCAGAGAUGAUUGUGCCUAAAUUCAACAGAAAAUUAAACUUGGGAUCAUCCAAGCAUAAUGCAGACAUGAGUGGAAAGAUCGUGUAUGCAGACCCUGCCAUACACAGGUUCUUCAUAUGUGGCUUGGAUAAUGAUAGCAGCACUCCUUCUGUCCGCUUUGUGGAGUUUUCAGACGACCCUGUUGAGCAUAAAAGAUCGACGACCAUUAAUCUGGCUCGAGGUUACUGAUCUGCAUUUGUAAUUUUAUCUUAAAUAUGUUCUACUUUCUUUCUUUAUUUAUAUCCGGUGCUAACUUUAGUUAUAAUGACAUUUGGAUUUUGGGUUGGUAGAUAACGAUAAAUUAUGUGGGAAUACGUCAAGAAGCCCGUGGGAAUCGAUGGCAGAAAAUGUAUGGCCAGAUGUAUUGAGUGCUUGUAACAUUGUCAAGAACGAAAUGGAGGAAAAGCCAACAAUGGUUGCUAGAUUUGGCCAUCAUCUUUUCCGUGAGUAUGUGAUCUGGUUCCAUUGCUGUAACAGCUUGAACUUUUUAUUAGGUCAUUCCUUUUCUUUGGACUUUGAAAUUAAAGCAGCAAAAAUGCAUGUUCAUACUAAAUUCUGACAGAAAUCUUAUGGUCAUAUAAGUGCUGGCAGCUAAAAUUAUGAGCUUUACCAUUAACCCUACCACCAGCUGUGGAUGACUGUAUAUCGGACCUCCAAGCCGGGGACAAAAGUUAAAAUUGCUUUUAAAAGCCAAAGAGGAAAAGAUUUGUAGAAAGAAGGAAAAAGAAAAUGGCAAUUUAUAGUGCAUGCACUUCUUUCAGACUUGUAUCUCAUAGAAGCUUUCAUGGCAUCUAGAAUUUGGCUUUGGCUUUGCGUAGGACAUUUCAAUUGUUGCUGGUGGAAACAAAUAUAUCCAUUGUCUUAGUAUUGCUUGAUUUCCGGUGCAAGAAACAAAUAAAUUUGUUGCCGUGGCCAAGUUUUGUUGUUUGAUAUUUCAUUGGGACAACAAAGUAUACCACUGCUUCGCCUAUUUCUUACAUCUUUGCAUCAUAUAUUUCCAUUCUUCUAUCACAUCUUUGAAGCUUCUACUAGUUCUCAUAUUAGAAGCGCCUCAAAGAAAUAAUUAUUAUAUUAUUCGUCUUAAUGAAGGAGUGACAUACUGAGCUUAGAAAAUGCAAAAGAAGGUCAGGUUGCUGAAUCUGCUUUGAGCCCACUGAGGAGAUGCUUUUACACUGGUGUCCCUCCUACAUACAUGGGAAAAAUUGUAAAUGAAGUUGUGCCAAAAAUUGGGGUUGGUUUUGUAGAGAACAAGGAUAUAUACCAUGUCAAGGUAGUUCUCCUGCAGUCCUGCUAAAUACUUUAGUAGUCAUCACCAAGUUUCUUUUAUCUCUCACUUAAUUAGCCAUUGAUUCCCCCCCUUCUUUUUCUUGUGUAGUUGUCUGAUGGCACACGACAAAUUACGUGCAAAUGUACUGUUAAAGAAGAUCAAAAGCUUCAUCUCUAUAAGGCAAGUCUUUUGCUACUGGCUGAGUAUUAUUUAUGGACAACGGGUCCAAGUUUAUAAGUUGCCUCUUGUGUUAAGGAGACUUUUGCUAGUGGAAACAUUGAAACAAGACUUAUGAUGUUUUGAAUUGAAUGAUAUAAUCUUUUCACUGUGAAUUAUGAAGGAGAUGUCGAAUAUAAGCGAUAGAUAUCAAGAAAGAGACGAAACCUUUGUGUCUCAAAAGAACCUUUUAGAAGUCUCUCCAGGAAUAAUCUCAGUUAAGAGGAAAAGAAUUAAAAUGAAAAGAAGGAAGAAAAUUCUCAAGAAGUAAGACUAAUUCUACAUCUAAUUGAGGAACAGGCUUGUUAAUUUAACAAGGAAAGCUCCAGUAGCUAUUUAUUAUAAACCAAUUAAAAAUUGAAUUAAAUUAAUAGUUAACUUGUAAUUGAAUGUCUAAUCCAACAAACUAUGCAUAAGAUUACAGAUGUAACUAUGUAAUACAAAAAACCUCUGCUUAUCGUAGACCAAAGUGAAUAUGCCAAUAUUUAGGAAUUUCUUUCAGCAUCAUGGGAUUUAGAUCCCUAUAAUUUUUUUUAUUUUAGUGUAGUGACAUCCGGAAGACCAGAAUUAUCACGUACCUCGUAGUAGUCAUUUUAUGUCUUUUAAAGCGCCACAUUAUUUCCCAUACAGUCAUAAUAUAUCUAUUUGUUGUUUAUUUAUUGUUGUCGUGUGUGGAGUCUCAUCUUGAAUAUGAACAUUUUUCCGGAAGGUCGAGCUGAACUCUGUUCGUCACAUGGUAGCAGACAUGUUAUGCGUUCAUAAAAAUCUAGACCUGAGGUUGGCACUAUGUUCAAAGAGUACCUUAUCUGCUCUCUCGGUAAGUCAAUCUGCUACUCUGUGCAUGUUUAGCUGGACUUUUAAGUUACGCCUUCUUUUUUCCCCUUUUUAUUUUUUUUUGGUCAUUUGCUUGUUGGAAUCAUCAUCAUUACAGAAUGAGGAAGAAAAAUUCAAGACCAGGGGAAAUAAGGAAAUAUUAAACUUAUAGCUUUUGUUUUAUCAUAGAAAGUUUACUUUCAAGGGGUUGAGAAAAAAAAAAAAUUAUAUAUAUAUAUAUAUAUAUAUAUAUAUAUACACAUACAUAUAUAUAUAUAGGGAUGGCAAAAUCCGGGUCUGGGUCCGGGUUUAGCCUUCCCGGUUCCGGACCCGGACGCCAUUUUCUUUCUCUCGGUCCCGGAUUAAAACCCGGUUUUUUCACUUCGGGUCCGGUACGGGUUCAACCCGAAAAAAUCCGGGUUUUGAACCCGGAUCAAUGAAUUAAUUUCUAUAAUUCCAAAAAUAAAAUCUUCAUAUGAAGAUGGCGAUUUUUCACUGGAACCAGAGAAAAUAUUUAUGGCACCUGGAGGGAGUUCCCUCUGUUUUGCAGAUCAUUUAUACAGAACAAAAUGAUUAAAUACCCAAAAAGGAGGAUCACAUGUCUGCAGAUUUGGCCCGCGGAAAAGAUUCAACACAAUCUCCAAAACCAUUUUAGAAUCCGCGAUGGUGAAGAUGCGUUGUCACAACUCAAACAACGACAGCCGAUGAUGAUGAAUACAGGAGCUACAAGGUUGCGACGGUGGUGAACCCAAGAGAACGAGUUGCGACGGUGGCGAACCAAGCUUGCGACGGUGGUGAACCCAAGAGAACGAGUUGCGACAGUGGCGAACCAAGCUUGCGACGGUGGUGAACCCAAGAGAACGAGUGGCGACGGCGGCAAACCAAGCUUGCGACGGUAGCAGCUUGGAUCGUAUGGUUGUUUGGUUGCAGCAAGCGGCAGCUUCAAUGUGUGAAUGUGAGUAUGUAAAUUAGGGUUUUUGUUAUGUUUGUAUUUAUAUUAAAUAAUAAAUAUAAUUAAAAAAUAAUAUUAAAAUAAGAUAUCCGGGUCCGGGUUCCGGAUAUACGGGUUACUCUAAACUCGGAAUCGGACCCGGAUCUAUCCGGGUCGUUAAAAUUCAUUCCGGAUCCGGAUUUUUUUACACUCCGGUACGGGUUCAACCCGGUCCGGAUUAUCCGGAUUCGUCCGGGUCCGAUCCGGGUCCGGGUUAUUCUGCCAUCCCUAUAUAUAUACAUACACACACGACAACAAUACAUAUAUAUACAAAAUUGUGAUAUCGUGCCACAGUUGCACUCAACCGUUGGAUUUCUAUGGACCCCACCUAUCUAAAUGGAUCCAACGGCUGGAUGCAACUGUGGCACGGUACCAUAGUUGCACCGUAGCCAGACCCUGCAAAAGUAUAUUGAAGUUUUUUUCUGGCCUUUUAUGUAAUCACACCCGCCAGUAAUGAGAUAAUUUACAAAAAGGUCCUUGAUGUUUUGGUUAAAUUUAAUUAAAUUAGUAAAUUCAUCCAAAACGGCAUCGUUUUGAAUGUGUUUUUAUUAAGAUUUAUCCAGCAUUUCGUACAUAUAUCAGUGCUUUUUUUUUUUUGUUUAAUUUUUAUAAAGUGUUGGUUAGAAGGCAAACAUCUUACAUUAAAAUGGAGUCUUCUUGCGGCGGCCAAAGGAGAUAUAUAUAUAUAUAUAGGCACACACACAUACACUAGAGUUUUGUUUAAGUUAUAUUUCACAUGGAUUAAGUUGUAGAUGACAGAUCUCUAAAAGCAUCUUGUAAAAUUGUACAUUAAAAAAUAAUAGUUCUAGUAGUGUUAAAGGCAGCUGCUGAAAACAGUUUCUACUUAUGCUGCGUUUACUAAACUGGAAUCGGAAUGAGUUGGAAUCAGAAUGGACGGGAAUCGAAAUGAGCUGGAAUGAGAAUCAAAAUAAGUUGUUUACUUGAACUGUAGGAAUCGAAAUCGGAAUGAGCUGGGUUGCCAUUAAUGUGUUUACUUUGUCUUGAAUCGGAAUCAGAAUGAGUUAGAUUGUAACAAAUUACUAAAAAAUACUUAAUGAAUUAUUGUCAUAAUUAUUAUUAUUAACUAAUUUUAAAUUUUUUAUCAAAUUAUUAUAAUUAUAUUAACAAUUAUUAUAAAAAUAUAUUAACAAAUAAUAUUAAUAUUCAAAAAUUAUAAUUAUUAAUAAUUAUUGUUAAAAAUAUAUUAAUAUAUUAAUUAGUACUAAUAAUUAUAUUAUUUAAUUAAUUAUAAUAACUAUAUUAAUAAUUAUUAUAAUAACAUGUUAAUUAAUUAUUUACAAUAAUAAUAUAUUAAUUAUUGUGAUUAUUUACUCAAGAACAAUAAUUAUUAAUAUAUUAUUGUUAAUAAUAUAUUAUUAUAUUAUUUAAUAGUGAUAAUUAUAUUAAUUAAUAAUAAUAUAUGAAUUAAUUCUAAUAAUUAUAAUAGUAAUUAUUAUAAUAAUAUAUUAAUUAAUUACAAUAAUAAUAUAUUAACUAUUGUGAUUAUUUAUUCAGAAAUUAUAAUUAUUAAUAAUUAUUGUUAAUAAUAUAUUAAUAUAUUAAUUAGUAGUAAUAAAUAUAUAAUUUAAUUAAUAAUAAUAUAUGAAUUAAUUAUAUUAAUAAUUAUUAUAACAGUAUAUUAAUUAAUUAUAAUAAAAAUAACAAUAAAUUAAUUAUUGUGAUUAUUUAUUCAAAAAUUAUAAUUAUUAAUAAUUAUUGUUAAUACUAUGUUAAUAUAUUAAUUAACAGUAAUAAUUAUAUUAAUUAAUAAUAAUAAUAUAUGAAUUAAUUAUAGUAAUAAUAUUGAUAAUUACUAUAAUAGCAUAUUAAUUAAUCAACUAAAAUAAUAAUAUAUUAAUUAUUGUGAUUAUUUAUUCAAGAACUAUAAUUAUAGUUAAUAAUAUAUUAAUUAAUCAUAAUAUUUAUUUAAUUAAUUAUAAUAAUAUAUUAAUUAAUUAUAACUGAGGACAAAGUGGGUAUUUUUAGUUUUGGGGGAUGGCAAAAUGGGAAUUCUUGGGAUGGGAGAUUGAUUCCCACCUCCCCCAUGGGAAUCAAUCUCCCAUUCCCCAUUCCCAAAUAGUUGUGGGCCCCACCAUUUUGAUUUCCAUUCCUGCUUCAUUUUUGCGAAGUAAACGCGUCAAUCAUUCCGAUUCCAGAUUUCGAUUCCCCAAUUCGGGAAGUAAACGCACCAUUAGUUUCUAGUAUAUCCAUAUAUAUUUACCUAAAAAAGAAGGAGGUAAACGUCUUUUGUUUUUUUUUUUUUUUUAAAAGAGAGAGAGCGAGAGAGAGAACAUUUUCUACUGUGUUCACUGACACACCCCGCCCCGACUUAUAUGUUGGAUCCGAGGCGAAUCAUGCGGUCUAGUAACUAAAACUCGUGGCACUAACUUAAUUCAUGUAUAUAUAUUAAUAGUUUUCUGGUUAGGGAAUUGUAAGCUUUUAAAGCCGUGCAGUUUUAAAGUUUUCCCAGACUUUCCCGCACUUUAAAAUUCCAGACUGGAACAUUUAUAUAUAUAUAUAUAUGACCUUUACUAUAAACACAUAACAACCUUUGUGUCUCCUCCGAAAAUAUAUAUGUAUUCAAAACUUGCACAGUUCAUGUCUCAUUAUACAUACUUACAUUACAAGUAUAUAUACAAAAAAAACAUAAACAACAUAAAUGUGCUCAAAAUGCAAGACAUGCAACAAUGCGUCUCGUGGGCCCACCCCAAUUGACUGGAACUGAUCUGCACGAAAUCCUGCGGAAUCCUGGGAAAAAAAAUAGAUAAAUAAGAAAAUAAUGAGCUUGCGGCUCAGUGAGUGGAUAUAAUUUAUAUAUAGAAAAAUAUAGUAGCGUACUAGGAUAUAUACAUAAUUAUGUGACAUAAUUCCGCACUGAAUGUAAUGCAUCAACAAACAUGAAAAUCAUACACACAUGACAAAAUUGUACCAAAUAGUACCCAGGGGAAAUAACUCUCAAUACUUGCUGGGAUCAUCGUCGCACGAGAAGAGCGGGAAAACUCUCAAUACCCAGCGGAAUUUAACUAAAUCGCACGAGUAGAGUAGCCUAACUCUCAAUAUGCAUGCGUAGAGCCUAUGGAGAAGGGUACAUAUAUGGUGACUGACAAUCACAUCUCAUGACUCAAUCAAACAUAUAAUAUGCAAAUAUAUAAUCAUGAUAUUAAAUCAUAUUAUCAAAUAUAAAUGCUUCACGAAAUUCAUAUUAGUAAUAAUAGUAUCCACUCACAAAUCAUGUUUCACUUCGGGGUGUUUGUUGGGGCUCCUAUGGGUUCUUGAAUUCUUGAGUUCCUCCUAAAAUAUAAGAUUAAAAAAUUAACUAUUAAAACUGAUAUAAAAAUUGAUACGUAUCACAAAAACUGUAAUAUAACUGUUCAAACUUCAUAUAUCUAUUACCCAUUAAUUCAUUGGAUAUUAAUGUAAGUGUUUAAUUUCAUUUCCUAUAACAUUCCCUCUCAAUUUAUCUUUUAAAUUUCUUUUCCCACUCUUGGCUUCUUCCUUUCUUUUAUUUUUUUUCUUUCCUCUUCUCUUUUGCUCUCAGUUUUUCUUCUUUUUCUUCUCUGUCUCACUUCAAAAAAUGAUGCAAAAUGAGAGCUGGUUUCAAUUCCUUCAAAUUCAUAUAUGUCCACCGACUCAAGCACACAAGUAGAGCAUACGGGUGAAGCAUGCACGUGCCUUGCAUGAAGCUGGUAGCUUGCUGCUGCUUUGAUAAUUAGCCACGUUUGGCUUAUAAAGAAGCGGUGAAGCAUGCACGGUGCAUUACAUUCAUGCUAUCUACGGAAUGAUAAAAACUAAACUUCAAGUACAGCGGAGUAAAACCUGUGCACACAGCUUAACAUUUUAUGUGGCAACUCUGGAAGAAAUCUCACAAUGAAAAUAAAAAUUACAGGCGAAUGUUGCAAGUAUAUUUCAUUCAUAUGUCAAUUUUUGAAAACCUUGCUCUGUAAGUAAACCAACCAAUCUAUUUGUGACAAAUGGGAACAAGACAGUAACCUCCUUAUUUGAUGAUAUGCAGCAUUUGCAGAAGCUGAAACAGUAAACAUGGGAAUGAAAGGAUUAGAAUCAUUUGAUAUAUUUUUUUUUAACUAGAAUUACUUCCACCGUAACUGAUAUAAUUAAAUAAGAGAGAAUUUACAAACUAAUUUUUUAAAUUCUCUCAAAUAAGUAAGCAUAUUAAUUAAAAAAAUUAAAUUAAAAGUAUUUCAUUUAAUUAUUUUUUUAUUGAAAACUAAUAAUUAAUACAUAUGCAUUCUCUACAGGUUUAAUCAGGUUUUGUUGUUGUACACAUUAGUAUAAUAAGUUUAAAUGAAGUUUAAACUUUGAUAAUUUAAAUUAAAAUUCUCACAAUUAUUUGAAGAUUGUGGUUCGGUGAAAUGAAGUUUAUCCAGUAUAACAUACCAAAAAGGGGGCGGCUAAGGAGGCAGCCAGGAGGCAACCGAGAGUUAGCAAAAGAGGCAAGAAAAAGGCAACAAGCCAACAAUGAAGUCAAAAGCUCAAGAAGGGAAGCGGUGAAGCAAAUCCGACAAACGCAAGCAAGAGUUAAGCUGGCUGUUUCGCAUGACACAUGUGAAGCUUCAUCACAAGCUGGCUGUUUCGCAUGACACAUGUGAAGCUUCAUCACAAGCUGGCUGUUUCGCAUGACACGUCUAUGCUAUUUUUCUUCUGGAUUUAAUCUAUCAUUGUCGACGACGACGAUUUGCUAACCUCACAAGUGAUAAGGACUCUACAAGAGUACAAAACAGAGACUCGUAAUAUUACUGAAUAUAGCAUUUCUGUUUCCUUAUUAAUGGAGAAAGGCAGUUAUGUUUUUGCAGCGGUCAAGGGCAUUGAAGAUAUUAUGGCUUUACUUAUCAUCGUUAGCUUCCUUCUGUGUCUCCCAUUCUUCCUCUUCUUCUUUGUUUUGCAAAGGCACAAAACCUCGAAAAAUAAUACUAAAUUACCACCAGGCCCCCGGGGCCUUCCCUUCAUCGGUAACUUACAUCAGUUUGAUGUCUCAAAGCCUCAUGUGUCAUUUUGGGAACUAUCGAAAAAAUAUGGCCCCCUCAUGUCCUUGCGUCUUGGUUUUGUGCCGUCCUUAGUAGUUUCCUCAGCAAAAAUGGCUAAAGAGAUAUUGAAAACCCAUGACCUUCAAUUUUGUAGCAGGCCAGCCUUGGUAGGGCAACAAAAGUUAUCUUACAAUGGUCUUGAUUUGGCUUUUUCACCCUAUGAUGAAUAUUGGAGAGAGAUUAGAAAAAUUUGUGUCAUUCAUCUCUUAAACUCUAAUAAGGUACAAAAUUUUCGACCCAUUAGAGAAGAUGAAGUUUCAAGAAUGAUUGAAAAGAUUUCAAAAUCAGUUGCUGCUUCUAAGCUCGUAAACUUAAGUGAGGUAAUGAUGUCUCUUACUAGCACUAUUAUUUGUAGAAUUGGUUUUGGCAAGAGGUACGAUGAAGAUGAAGCAACAAGUGCAAGAAGUAGAUUCCAAGCCUUGCUUAAUGAAACUCAAGCCUUGUUUGUAAGCUUUUUUGUUACAGAUUAUUUUCCUUUCAUGGGCUGGAUUGAUAAGUUCACAGGAAAGAUGCAACGUCUGCAAAAUAACUUCCAAGAACUUGAUAGAUUCUACCAGGAACUCAUCGACGAGCAUUUGGAUCCAAACAGAACAAAAUCAAAAUUGCCGCAACAGGAGGAUAUAAUUGAUGUUUUACUUCAAAUAAGAAAAGAUCGUGGAUUUAAAGUUGACCUGACUUUGGAUAACAUCAAAGCAGUGCUCAUGGUGGAUAAUUUUAUAAAUAGUUAUAUGUAGACUCGUGCUUAGGCGCAGACUCAAAAUUUUGUGCAGAUGCCCAAUUUUACAGUGUUGUAAAACGUUUUAUAAUGCUGUAAAGUGCUCUUUGACGUCUCCGCCUGAGCAUGAUUAAUUUAAUAUAAUUUUAUUCGCUUUAACUAAUUUAAUAUGUAUAUUGUUUGCUUUGCAGAACGUAUUCGUUGCUGGAACAGACACAAGUGCAGCAACUGUGGUUUGGGCCAUGACCUAUCUAACGAAGAAUCCUAGAGCAAUGAAAAAAGUUCAACUGGAAAUUAGAUCGUUGAUUGGGGGCAACAAAGGCUUUGUAAAUGAAGAUGAUGUUCAAGAACUACAUUAUCUUAAAGCCGUAGUGAAGGAGACAAUGAGAUUGCAACCUACAGUGCCGUUACUACUUCCAAGAGAAGCAAUUCAAAAGUGCAUAGUAGAAGGGUAUGAAAUACCAGCUAAAACACGUGUUUUUGUAAAUGCAUGGGCGAUAGGGAGAGAUCCUGAAGCUUGGCAGAAUCCUGAGGAAUUUUAUCCGGAGAGAUUUGUUGAUAGUUGUAUUGACUUUAAAGGGCAAAACUUUGAGUUAAUACCGUUUGGUGCUGGCAGAAGAAUUUGUCCUGGGUUGAAUAUGGGAAUUGUAACUGUGGAGCUUGCACUUGCUAAUCUUCUUUACAAAUUUGAUUGGGAAAUGCCGCCUGGAUUGAAGAGCCAUGACUUUGAUGUUCUGCCCGGACUUGCCAUGCAUAAGAAGAACGUUCUUUCUCUUCGGGCUAAGUAUCAUGUUGAGUAGGUAAAUUAAGGCACCUCCAUCAAUAAGAAGGUAAAUUAAGGCACCUCCAUUAAUAAGGGUUUGAUCUAGCUAAAGGAAAUAUAUGUUAUGCGUCCUCAAUUGUGCUUCUCAAUGUUUUCUUUCUUUCUUCUUAUGUAUAAUGGAUGUUUACGCGAAUGGUUUUUAGUAAGUAAUUUUCUUUUAGUUCAAAAUUUUGGGAGGUAAGGGCUAGAAGAUAAUAGGGACUCUGCCCACUCUCUUAUACCUUUAAAAAAAUGAUAUGAAUGUGAGUAUCAAUUUAUCACAUUUAUUUUGUCUUACAUUUUUCUCUCUCCAAUUUCAAAUUAUAAAUGUAUAUAUAAAUACACGAAACGACCAAUCAAUAUUAUUUACUUGAUAUAACUAAUAAGUAAAUUCAUGGCUUUUUCUAUCACCCCUUUUUUUGUUAGGAGUAUCAGUAAAAUCAGCUCUGUAAUGCUCUACAUCUUUACCGUGAAAGCUGCAUUUUUAUGGAAUCAGCUUACAGUUAUGUACUAACCAAAAAAAAAGAAAAAGAAUAUUACAUCAAUUCUUCAUUGAGAUUUGAGACAUUUUCUUCCUCCAGAAAGUAUACAAGUUAAAAAAACUACACAUCAUUGUGAUUUCAUAACAGCAUCAUCCAUCACUUUCCUAUGAGCUUUUUAUGAGGCCGGAGGCUAAAGCACAAUCAGUUGAGCUGUUAUUGCAUUUCCCACAGCAAGACUGUGGCAAAUCAGUUGACUUUUGACGUUAAAUGGUGGUUUCGGCUUGCAGUCACUUGUGUUUGUUCAAUUUCAAUAAAGGAAAUUUCAUUUUUGUUAAAAUCCAUGAAUAUUAAUUACUACCUUGUUCGCUGUUCAGUAAAACUAAAACAACACCAAAACUUAAAUAUUUUCGCUAUAUCACAAACUUAAAUAUUUUUUUUUUCCCCCUAUACAUCCCUAGUAAGGUUGACAGAAAAAAACCAAAUUUCAAUCGGUAUUGGGAUCCCCUCCCGAAUGAUAGGGGAUUUGGCACUAAUUUUUAAAAUCGAUUCGAUACUAAUUUUAACAAACACUUGCUUUAAACCAACUUAUUCUUCUACCACAUAAUUUACUUAACUUUCAUUACAUGAAAAAUAGUCAUUUUUUUUACCUAACUUGUUCGACAAUAGUUAAAUAUGUUGGUGAGAGGGCAGUUUUCAAUUGUAAAAAUCAAGACAUCGAGAAAAACUAAAAUGGCUAUUUGGUUUUUCUAAUGAAAAACUAAAACAACUAUAUGGUUUAGCGUGAAAUUUUAGCUUCAUUGGUAUUUAUGACGAUUGUAACUAACCAUUAAAAAUGCAUAAUUAUUUUCUACCUGUAGUGAUUUAGGUGCUGUAGAAUUCGAUUAGCAACCUAAGCACUGCCCAAGAUCACAAACCAGAUCCACUAGAUGCUAAGAACCCAAACAAUCAAGCUUUAAGUUUCAACAAAACCUUUAACGAAAAUGGCUUAAUCAGAACACACUCAGAACAAGAAUUAGAAACCAAUCACACCCAAAAGAAAGAGAAAUAUUUACGUGGUUCGAUUGUGCAAAGAAGCACAAUCUACAUCCACGGGAGAAGCCCACAGAGCAAGCUUUAUUGAUGAUUCAAGUAAUCUUUACAGAGCAAUACAAGAGCUAACUACUAGGAUCAAGACGAAGCUUUCUCUCUAUCUUAACUCUCUCUAUCACGCUCUCAGAUCAUCCAUGAAACUGCUUCUUUAACCAGCUUAUAUAGCAGCUGAUAAAGAACCCAGAAGUUGCAGAUUUCCGCCACCUGGACUAACAGCUUCUAACUGAUUUGAUUCUCCACCCCCCGUGCACUUCACAUGUUUCACUUAAGCCUUUUGCCGAAACGUCUCCAGCUCCUGCCGUUUUGAACUUAAGUGAAUCACAUGCCAUGCUCGUGACUCCUGAGUAUAUUAAACAUAUUCCAAACGUUGUCGUUUAACAUGCUCAAGUUUUGGAUUCAACAUUUUAGUCCACACUACCGUUUCAAAAACAUAGUCGAAAAUAAAAUAAUAUUUUCAAUUAUUGUAAUUUUUAAUCAAAAAUAGGAAAAUAUUUUUAAACGUAACUAGGAGUUGGUUGAAAAAACCAUUAAAAAGAUAUAAAAUUUUAACAGACAACAUGGGCACCAAUAAUGUUUUUCACUACUAUAACUUGCAAGGUUGGUCAAAGCAAAAGCUGUAAGGGUAAGUAAAUAUAAUAUAAAAUUAUAUAUCAUCUAAAAGAAAAGUAAUUGUACGUUUUUUUUUCUUAGUUUACUAUUUUUUUUAUCAAACAUGAACUAGAUAAUUAAAUAAUUAAUUAAUUAAUGUAUUUUUUUUAUAGAAUUAAUUAAUGUACUUAAUUGAAAAUAAAAUUAACUUCUACGAUGCAAACAGAAUUUGAGCCCUCAACUGAAAAGAUAAAAUAUGAAAGUGCCUACCACUGGAGCAAGAAAUAAUUUUCAGUAAAUUAUAAAUUAAAUAAUUAUGAAAGGAUUGAUUUUUUCUAAAGGUUUUACUAGGUGCAACAAUGGAAUUGAAUUACCUUAUUUAACUUAGAAGAUAUUGAUUGAUUACAGCAUAGAUAUAAUGUAUGAUAUCUUAAAUUAAACAUCAAUUAACUUCGAAAUUAUAUUGUAGUUCAAAUAAACUCGAUAAUAUUUAUGAUCACAUUCUAUCUUAUACACAAACUUGAAACUUAUGUUAUUGAUUAAGUCUCAACUAUUUUAAUCAUUAUCAUUGAAUCAAUUUAGAAAUUGAUUAUCGAACUAGCUGGUAUUUUAUAGUUAAGUAUUUAAAGAAAUAAUGUCUAUGAUUGAUCAUAAUUAUUGUUGAAUCAAUUUGGAGACUAGCUAAUUUUCAAAUUAAUGUAAUUAUCUAGUGGUCAAUUUCAAUAAAUAGAGUCUAAUAGUUUUCAUAGUUGUAUUAUACUCAUAAUUGUGGAACAUGGAACGUAUACUUCAUACUUAAAACUUAUUGCAUAUAUUAAAAAAAAUAGAUGAUUAGUAAUUAACAUUUAAUUAUAGUUGAAAUAUUAAUUAUUAAAUUAGUCUAAUUGUCUAAGAACAGUCAUACAAUUAAUUUCAAUAGAUAACAAGAACUAUUGCAAUAAUUUUUUUAUAUUUUAAAACAUAUCUCAACUAUGAAUUAUUAAAACUAAUAUAGCUUCAUAGUUUUUAGGCCAAUAUCUAUUUUCAUCUUUUGUUUAUCUUAUUAAUUUAAAUUUAAAAUCUAUGUUAAAUAAUAAAGAUGUUCUAUCAAUCAAUUUAGGCUAUAGAUUAAUUAAACAAUCUAGUAAUCACAUAAUAGGUAUUACAUAUAAUUGUUCAAUUAUAAUAAACUUUAAAUUUGCAUUAAUGAGAUAAGAAGUUUUGUUUUGCAAUUAAUCGAAUCGUAUGCUAAUAAUUUUCAAUAUUUAUUAUUAUUUCAAUAUUUAUUAGUAUGAAAUAACUAACUUAGGAUAAAUAAAUUGAUUGAUUGAUUUUUUCUUAAAUUUUAAUAUCUUGUAUUAUCUCUAUUAACUAUUUGGUCCACUGCCACCUAACUAAAGUUUUUAGUGCAAGUGUAUGUGUACCUAUUCUCCACUCUCUCUAACAAAUAUCUCAAUUAGCCACCGAAUCAAAUCUAAUAAUAGAAUAAAUAAAUAAAAGCCACCGAUAUUAAGCGCAACGGAUGAAUUCAUCUCCUCUUCUUUUGUAUAUUCUCUCCAAAGCUUUCAACUCUAUUUUGGGGUCAUUUUCUUAAUUUUUUUUAAUUAAACUAUAUAGAAACUGGGGAGAUGUUUUCAGAUAUUUAUUAAUUUUUAUCCUUCACCUUUAAUUUCUUAAGUUUGACAUCAGUUAUUGUUGGCCUCACUCUCACAUGGUUGGUUUGAAGCUUUUCUAUCAUGUAGUUCGGUGAAAAUUAUUUGAUUAAUCGUGACUUGCAGGUAAGAAUUAUAUUAUUAUUUUGUGUUAUGUUUUUAAUUUAUUAGAUUUUAAUUCACAAUUUAUUUGAUAACAAGUGAAAGAGAUGUUAAUUAGGAUAGAUUCAUUUUCUUGUUUAGUAUAUAGGAUUUUCUACUUUAAUUUAAUUGUAUCUUAAUAUUUUUUUUAUUGUUAUCAAGGGAAUUAAGAGCCUAGGAAGAAAAAAUUAUGAUAUUCAACUUUCAUAAGGAUUCAGUUGCUCAAUCCACAUUGAUUCUAUCUUUUAUCAACAGCAAAAUAUCAUUGCAAGAGUGCCAUGUAGCCUUUGGUGUAUUUUAUUUUAUUUAAAUAUUUGUCAUGGAUUCAAUGAUUAAUACGUAUUUAUUUUAUCUUUUAGUAGCAUUAAGUUAUUGUAAUAGCAUCAUGUAGCUUUAAGUCAUUGUAAUGGUGUCUUGUAGCACUUGUACUUUGUUUGAGUUGCACAUGUAUUUGUUGAAAUUAUUUAUAAAAGGAUAUUUGUCGAUUGAUUCAUUGAUUUUUUUCUCCUGAGGCAAUUAAUAAAACCAUUUUCAGCCAUAUAUAUUUGUCUACUAAUUCAUCAUUUUUUUUCCUAGAGGCGAUUAAUAAAAUGAUUAUUUUAACGAUGAAGUAGAAUCAAAUGAAUUUCAAUAAUCAUCUUCUUGGAAAUACUAAGAUUCAAUUAGAACUAAUAUUUAUUCGACUAUAAUUUAUUUUUUCCAACUGUUUUUACCCCUAAAAAAUAGUGUAUUUUUAAUGGUAAUUAGUUAGUUGAAAUUGAUAUUGCAAAUACAACUGCUAUCGAAAAUACUCUUUUUUACUACUUAAGGUGGUCAUAAAUAUCAGUCAUUAGUCACAUGUCCAUAUUAAUUUUCAAUCUAUAUUUAUGUAUUUAUGAUUGUCAAUUUCGCACCAAAUAAGCAUAUUUACGGCGGCCAAUCGGUAAAAGUGUGUUUCUAACCUGGGUAUUAGCGAUUACCAGCGACUGAUUAAGGCCAUUGGAAAAACAUAUUUUCAACAGUAUAGCACUUGUUUCAACUGCAUUCAGCAGUUAUAAAAAGUUAUUUUUCUUGUAGUAUAUUUAUACCGCACAUUUUGACUACCACUAAUUUAAGUUGCCUGAUGAACAUAUUUACCACACAUAAAAACUAAAAUAUCUGAGAUAUUUCUUUAGAUAUUUCUAUAGAUAUUUUAACAUUUUAGAUUACAAUAUUUUUCAACACUUGAUUUAAUCACCAAUCGUUGACUAUGAUGACGACAAAAAAUCUAUUUCAUUGUGCUAACCUCACAAGUGAAAAGGACUCCACAAGAGUACAAAACAGAGCCUUGAUCUAAUAAUAUUACCGAAUAUAGCAUUUUGUUUCCUUAUAAAUGGAGAGAGGUUCUGUCUUUGCACUGCAUAACAGAUAUUAAUGGCUUUACUUAUCGUCAUCAACUUCCUUAUGUGUCUCUCAAUCUUCGUCAUCUUCUUUGUUUUGACAUCAAUUUUGUUGGCCUCACCCUUGGCUGAAAGCUUUUUCUGUCAUGUAGAACGGUGAAAAUUAUUUGAUUAAUUGUGGCUCGUAGGUAAGAAUAAUUAUUGUUUUUUGUGUUCAUGUUUUUAAUUUAUUGGAUUUUAAUUCACAAUUUAUUUUAUAACAACUGAAAGAGAUUUUAUUUAGGAUAGAUUCAUUUUCUUGUUUAGUAUAUAGGAAUUUCUACUUUAAUUUAAUUGUAUCGUAAUUUUUUUUUUAUAUAUAUUGUUAUGCGGUGAAUCAAGAGACCUAGGAAGAAAAAAUUAUGGUAUUCAACUUUCAUAAGGAUUCAAUUGCUCAGUCCAUAUUAAUUCUAUCUUUUAUCAACACCAAAAUAUCAUUGCAAGAGUGCCGUGUAGCUUUUGGUGUAUUAUUUUUUAUUUAAGUAUUUGUCAAAGAUUCAAUGACUAAUACAUAUUUAUUUUAUCUUUUAGCAAUAUUAAGUCAUUGUAGUAGUAUUGUGCAAUAGGGAUGACAAAACCCCGGGCCGGGUCCGGGUAUUGCAAUGACCGGACCCUACCCGGAUGCAACCGGUCCGGGUCCAGGUCUGGGCCGGGUUUUAAUCCGAGUACCCGAAUUUUAUAUUUUUUAAUAUUAUAUGUGUAUAUAUUUUUUAUUUUUUGGUAAUUUUAUAAGUUUUAAAUUUAUUUCAAUAAAAUUUGACAUGAAAAUAUAAACUUUAAGUGUUUAAAACUUUAUAUAUGUAUAAUAAAUUAGUCAAAUAAAUAUAAAUAUUUAAAAUAAUAUAUAUUUUAUAAUAUUUUUGUAAUAAAAUCCGGGUUCUGGGUUUAUCAAGUGAUGUCCAAGACCGACCCGGCUUCAUACCCGGCCCAUAACGCCCGGGUACGGUUCGGGUCCAGACCGGGCGGGUAUUUUUGCCACCUCUAUCUUACAUCUUUAAGUCAUUGUAGUAGUGUGGUGUAGGAUUUGUAUUUUGUUUAAGUUGCACAUGUAUUUGUUGAAAUUAUUUAUAAAAGAAUAUUAUUCCACUAAUCCAUUGAUUUUUCUUUUUUCUAUGGGGCAAUUAAUAAAAUCAAUUUGGGCCAUAUAUUUGUCAAUUAAUUCAUUGAUCAUUUUCCUAGGGGUCCAGCUACCUUGCGUCAUGGGUUUGGUACCGCAGUUGUUUGUCUCUUAGCGAAUGACCCUUUAGAUUGUACUGAAUGCAUUCUGCACUAUGGUCCAAUAAUUCUCUUUCAAAUACACUUAGGUCCCCAAAUCAAUAGCUCAAUUCUUCACAUUCAAUUUAAAGCUUUUUUUAACUUCAUUAUCAUUUAUUUAUCAAACAUCACAUACCUGAUGCAGAUCCACCAGGUGUUGAGUUUCUACCAGCAUUCACUCUUGAGCUUGAUGUUGUUUCCAAGUUCUUGCAACGCUUCUGCUUGGCACAGAGAAGUAAAUUUUGUAAGUAAGUACACUCAAUCAAAUACUUCAUACUUAACAUUGAUUGCAUAUAUUAAAAAAAAUGUUAGAUGAUUAGUAAUUAACAUUUAAUUAUAGUUGAAAUAUUGUUUAUUAAAUUAGUCUAAUUGUCUAAGAACGGUCAUACAAUUAAUUUCAACAUAUAAAAAAACUAUUGCAAUAAUUUAUUUAUAUUUUGAAACAUAGCUCAACUAUGAAUUAUUAAAACUAAUAUAGCUUCACAGUUUUUGCAUCAAUAUCUCUUUUCAUCUUUCGCUUAUCUUAUCAAUUUAAAUUUAAAAUCUAUGUUAAAGAUGUUCUGUCAAUCAAUUUAGGCUAGAGAUUAAUUAAACAAUCUAGUAAGCACAUAAUAGGUAUUAUUAUUAAUUGUUCAAUUAUAAUAAACUUUCAAAUUGCAUUAAUGUGAUAAGAAGUUAUAUUUUGCAAUUAAUCGAAUCAUAUGCUAAUAAUUUGCAAUAUUUAUCAGUAUGAAAUAACUAACUUAGAAUAAAUUAAUUAAUUGAUUGAUUUUUUCUUAAAUUUGAAUAUCUUGUAUUAUCUCUAGUAACUGUUUGGUCCACUUAAUUACUAAAAUCCCACCUAACUAAAGUUUUUUGUGCAAAUGUAUAUUUACCGUAACCCACGUUCUCCAUGCUCUCUAACAAAUCUCUCAAUUAGCCACCGAAUCAUAUCCAUUAAUAGAAUAAAAAUAAAAGCCACCGAUAUUAAGCACAAUGGAUGAAUUCAUCUCUACUUCUUUUGUAUAUUCUCUCUAAAGCUUCAAACUCUAUUUUAGGGUUAUUUUCUUAAUUCUUUUGAAUCAAGCUAUAUAGAAUCUGGGGAGAUGUUUUCAAAUAUUUAUUGAAACGACCCGCCCCGAAUCAACCCAGACGAGUUUAUCUAGUCUCAUCAAAACGGACUUGAUAAUAAUUUUAUUCGUAAAGAUUCUGCCGAAAAUUCGGCAGAGUCUCCUUUAUAUAUAUAACACUCCCAAUCUACAAAUAUGAAUAUAACACUCUCAAUACAAGUCAAUAUACAACAAACUCUAGUGCUCAACAUCCUCAACCAAAAUGCUGAGUUUUAUAUCUCCAGAGUCUCAAAAGAUAAUAUUAUAACUAAUAUUAAUAUCUCAAUUUAUUCUUAAUCCCAAAAAGAAUAAUAUAACAAAAGUAUACAAUCCCAAAAGAACAAGAUGACCAAGAUAUCCUAACAAAAACAUUUAUAUCUUCUAACACCAUCACGUGACCAAGACUCAAAAUAUAUUUACAGUCGCUGGGUCGGUCUGGUGUACCUGCAACCUCCUGGUGAGGGGGGAAAAAUAUAAUAAAAACGGGAUGAGUCUAAAACUCAGUGAGAUCAGUGAGUGGAUAGUAGUUUUGAAAAUUAAUUCUUACUUUAAAAGAAAUAAUCAUAUCAUUUCCAAACAUGAUUGCACUAAACCAUAAGCGAGAAACCAGAAAUAAAUAAUUAAACAUUUAAAUCAGAUUACUAACCAUGGAAAUCAUAUCACAAUAUCAUAUAGAAUUCACAAAUCUGAAAAUCAUCACCAAACAAGUACCCAGGGAAAUAAUCUCGUCAUAUCCGGACCUCAACGGACGAGCAAUGACGUACUAUCUGGGUAACGUCACGCCCCGGAGCUACACGGAUAGACAGGGAAAUACCAUCUCAUAUCUCAUCAUAUCCGUGCAUGCAUAAUCUAGUCCCCAAAUGACAAAAACACCCAAGCACAUGGCCCAAAGCCUAUGUGUGUACUCAGACGGGCCCCAAAGGCCUGUAUCUCAUCUGUAUCAUUUGUAUCUCAAUAUCUGUUUGUAUCUUAUAUCUGUAUCUCUGUAAUCAUCAUACCGCAUGCAUAUGCCCCCAAAAGGCAAAAACGCCCAAACACAUGGCCCAAAGCCUCUAUGUGUGUUCAGACGGGCCCCAAAGGCCUCUCAUCUCAUAUCACCUGUAUUACUGUAUCUGGAGGAGAAGGAUACUGUCUAAUGAUUUCAAAAACAAUCAUUAUACUCAUAUUCACAUACCUUUUAAUCAUACUUUAAAUCAUACCACAUUCAAAUCCACUUUUCUUAUCUUUAAAAUAUUAUCAUGCUUUAUUCAAAGUCGAUACGCAAAAUCAAUAACCAAACAUUUUAAUAAAAUACCAAUGCGUGAAUAAAAAUCCAUUUCGAGGAAAUCAUUAAAUCAGAACAUUUAAAAUACUUAUUUCACAAACAUGCAUUACUAUCAUAAUUAACUAUGAAAAUAGGUUUUGUAUAUUCCACUCACAGUGACGGUGUUCACGGUCGGUUAUCGUCCACGUCCGCGGACCGGUUCUCGCUCGCGGAUCCUCCUAAAUCAAGGAAACGACAUAAUUAUUUUCCGUAAAUCGGAAUUACGGCUAAAUUUAUGCAAUAAACUCGAAACGAACAUCUAUCCAUAAUUGACAACUCCCGUGUCCAUAAAAUUACUAAAAUGCCCUUGAGUCCGUAAAUCAUUAACACAUACUCUGAAAUUGUACAACACCGAAUUACCCUCGGAAUCGUAAUUACACCCACUCCUCAAUUCUAGGAAUUACUAAAAUAUCCACAGGCUCAGAAAUUACAAAAUUGCUCUCAUAGUGUGAAAUUACCAAAAUGCCCUUGCCGGUCAACGGUCACAGGAAUUUGGUCAACGCUGGUUAGGAAGCUCAAAUCUGAAAGUUCAAAUCACGCUGAGUUCAAUGGUACCGGCGGUGAGCUCCAUGCGCGGCAACGGCGCCGGAAUCGAGCUCGACAGCCGUGAAUUCCAACAAUCGACCGGCGGCAAAAUAGUGACUCUCGGUGCCUAUGGAUGGUCGGAAAUGGAAGAGGGAGUCGUGGGGAACAAGAUCCAACCGGUGGUGUCACCCAAAACCGGCGAAAAUCCCGGCGGAGUAAAGUGAAACAAUCGCGGGUUCAAGCUUCAAUUGCCGGCGUUCCGGUUGGUUUUCGGCGGCGAGGAUGGCACGGGAACGACGGUCGGCUUCUAAGCUUCAGAUUGGUACCAAGCUCGGCUGAAACGGUGGCCGGAAAUGGGAGAUAUGGUCGGGUCAAGGUCGCCGGUUCCGGGUCGAGUUUUCGGGUCCGUAGUUGGAUCGGUUUGGCAGUUUCCCUUCACUCUCUCUCACACGUGCAUGUUUUUACCCUGUUUCCAGCUUAUUCUUUUACUUAUAAACUCCUUAACCGCCUCAUUUUCAUUUUGAAAUUCACAUAUGUUACAUUUAUUACCUUUUGUCCUUCACCUUUAAUUUCUUAAGUUUGACAUCAGUUUUGUUGGCCUCACCCUUGGCUGAAAGCUUUUUCCGUCACGUAGAUCGGUGAAAAUGAUUUGAUUAAUUGUGGCUCGUAGGUAAGAAUAAUUGAUGGUUGUCGAAGUCAGUAAAAAUAAAUACUUACUCUAAAUAAAUUGUGUAUAGUGAUUGAGCAGGGUCGUGUCCACAGAGAUCGGUAAUAUUUAAAUCUUUUUUAAAAUGUAAAUUGCAAAAUGGGGGGAUUGUUGAUAAUAAUAAAAAUCAAAUUAAAAUUGGGAAAAGCUUUAGUUGAAGGAAUUAACUCAGCUUGAUUCGACUACUGAUCAUUAAUUCAAAUAUAAAUCAUUACUACUUAUGAAUAGACCGGUUAUAGCUACUGAGACCCUCUAAUAGCUAAUCUCUCAUUAACUAGUCGAUAACCAAGGUACGACCAUUGGUUAUUUCCCUAAUCAAUAGAUAACCCUAGAUACGAUCAUAAAAUUUAAUCAAUUGACAGCCUGAAAAAUCAGAGAGACCCAAAUCCUAAUCAACAAACGCAUACGAUGGUUCAUUUAAAUUAGAUUGUUUAUUCUCAUAACACAACGCACUACUAUGCUAUUUGUCACAAAUAUUAAAAUCUUCAUACGAUGAAUCCUUUAAUUGACAAUAGAUUAAGUUGAUAAUUAAAUAGUGGCCAAUUAUCUAAUUAACAAACAUAAUCAUGACAAUAAUUUAGAGAAUAAACAAAUACCCAAAAAGUAAUAAAAUAAUUAAAGCAUAAGAAAGAUCUCACAGUAAUGAUGAAUCAAAGCUUCAUUAAUCUUCAACCAGAAUAAUAGGUUUAGUUAUUCACAGAGAAAAGAGAAAAAUUUAGAUCUAGGGUUUUUUUUUUACAAUAGAUUCCCCCCUUUAAUUCUCUCUCCCCUCUUCUCCUCUAGAGUUCUUUUUAAAAUAAAAUACUAAUAUCUAUUAUCUAAAUAUUAAAUUCGGAAUUACAAAAAUAACCAAAAAGAUAAAACACGUUAAACUAAUAACUGCAGAUCCGUAGUUGACAAUACGCGUCCACGCCUUAUCAACAAAGUUCUUCUGAAGCUCAUAAUUUCUCCAGGAAAACAAUCAUCCUAAAAAAUCAUCUUGUAGCUCAACUUUAUUACCAAUCAAUAGAAUUACACCUACAGAAAUAAAACACAAGUAAAUCACUAUUAUUAAGUGCAAAACAUCGAUAUUAAAGAAAGUAAACAAUGCAAAACUAGAGCAUAAAUUGCACUCUAACAAUAAUUAUUGUUUUUUUGUGUUCAUGUUUUUAAUUUAUUGGAUUUAGUUCACAAUUUAUUUUACAACAACUGAAAUAGAUGUUAAUUAGGAUAGAUUCAUUUUCUUGUUUAGUAUAUAGAAUUUUCUACUUUAAUUUAAUUGUAUCUUAAUUUUUUUUUUUGUUUAUAUAUUGUUAUGCAGUGAAUCAAGAGACCUAGGAAGAAAAAAUUAUGGUAUUCAACUUUCAUAAGGAUUCAAUUGCUCAGUCCACAUUAAUUCUAUCUUUUGUCAACACCAAAAUAUCAUUGGAAAGAGUGCCGCGUAGCUUUUGGUGUAUUAUCUUUUAUUUAAUUUUUUGUCAAGGAUUCAAUGACUAAUACAUAUUUAUUUUAUCUUUUAGCAACAUUAAGUCAUUGUAGUAGCAUCAUGCGGCUUUAAGUCAUUGUAGUAGUGUCGUGUAGGAUUUGUAUUUUGUUUAAGUUGCACAUGUGUUUGUUGAAAUUAUUUAUAAAAGAAUAUUAUUCCACUAAUCCAUUGAUUUUUCUUUUUUCCAUGGGGCAAUUAAUAAAAUCAAUUUGGGCCAUAUAUUUGUCAAUUAAUUCACUGAUCAUUUUCCUAGAGGGGAUUAAUAAAAUGAUAAUUUUAACGAUGAAGUAGAAUAAAAUGAGUUUCAAUAAUCAUUUUCUUCGAAAUACUAAAAUUUAAUUAGAAAUAUAAAUUUUUUCAAACUAAAAUAACAUAUUUUCAAUUGCAUAACCAAUUAGAACUAAUAUUUUUCCGAUUUUUUUUCAUCUGUUUUUACCCCUAGAAAAUAGUGUAUUUUUAAGAGUAAUCAGUUAGUUGAAAUUGAUAUUGCAAAUACAACCGCAAUCGAGAAUUCUCUCCUUUACUACUUAAACUAGAAAAUAGAACCGCGUUUCACGCGGCUUUGAAAAAAUUUAGUAUUAUCUUUUUUUCUUACUUUACACUUGAUGAAAUUGAUAAAAAAUAUGAAUUGAUUUUUUUUUUAAGAUGAGGCGGCCUUAUAAAAAAUAAAAAAAGAUAUUAGCCAGCAAUACAAAUAAAGAAGCAACGCAAGAUAAAGAAUAAAAUGAGAUAAUAUAUUAUAGAGUGAUUUUAUUCAUUCUAAUUGUGUGUGUACAAAAUAAAAAGAUGAGCUCUCCUUUUUAUAGUUACAUAAUCACUCCAUGAAAUUAAUGAAAAAUUAUGGAUCAUAAUUCAUUGUGAGAUAGUGGGAGUUAUAGGGAAGCUAAAGGUUGCUAAUGGGAGAUAGUGGGGAGACUAAGAGAUAUAUGUUAUGAACAUCUACAUUUAUUUUAAUAAAUUCAUAACACUCCCCCUUGGAUGUUCAUUACAAAGAAUAUGCCUCAUUAAAAUCUUUACAUAAUUGUUAUUGUGUAAUAACAAUCAAAUUAAUUAUGAAAAGAUGAAAAGCCAAAUCUAAAAGAAAAUUUAUCUAUUUAUUAGAUAAUAGAGAAUAUACAAAGAUGAGAAAUUGUGAUGCCACAUCACCUCCUCAAAUCCCAACUUUAUAUAUAUAUAUAGAUUGGUCAUGAAUAUGAGUCCUCAGUCACAUGUCCAUAUUAAUUUUGAGAAAUUUAUAAAAAUGACCAUAGAACUUUUACGUUUUUCAACUUUAACCCCCCAAAAUUUUUUCUAUCAUAACUAGCCAAAUAUCUUAUUUUUGGACUAGAUUACCCUCAUCACUUUCAUCAAAUUCACAAAGGUAUGCCACUUUUUCAAUUCCAGCACCACUAAAUACGAAUCUUCCUCAACAACUUAACAAACCUUCAUCACUCUCAACAAACUUCAUCACUCUCAAUAAAUCAACAAAUUCCAUCAAACAAACAUUGCAUAAUUGAAGAUACAAUCAUCAAUUGGAGAGCUUCUUAAAAUUAGUUUAUGCUCUUACACAAUGUAAACCUUUAAUCUAUUGAUUUUAUCAACUAAGUUCGAAAUUAAAGUGGGUUUUGUUGCAAAUGUUGUUAUUUUUCAUUCAUAAAACAAUGUGAUUUGUUAAAGUACUUAGUUUGAGUUGAGAAAUGAAGAAAAAUCAUUAAAAAUACAGAAAAAUCGGGCAAAAAAUGAAGUCCAAAACAAGUGAGACAAGCAGUGAGACAUGUGUCUGUCUCACAUAAACCCACUGAUUUUAUGGAAUAUAUGAUUUUGGAUUUGAUUUGUCUCGUCGUAAGCUUCGAAACGGUAUAAUUAUUACAAUAUUUUGGCUCACUACUCCGAACCCCAAUACACAUAAUCUCUCAAAUCACUAGAACAAGAGCUUUUAUUAUUUAAGCUCUACAAAACUCUCUGCUCUACAGGAAAUGCUUCUCACAAAAUUGGAUGCAGAAAUGAGGAGGAGGAACCUCUUUUUAUACCAAAACUUGGCUACUGUUCAUGCUUUAUUUAAUUAUUAUUUUUUUUCUUCUUCCUUUUCGGUCCGGCAUUCAUUUUUUCUUCCUCUUUUGUCUUCUUUCUUCUUUUCUUUUGUUCCGGUCAAAGAAGCAACCAAUGCAUUCUUCUUCAAAAUCAGUGGGCCCACCUUCUAGAAGGGUGGUGCCCACAUGCCAUUUUCAUCAUUAAAUAGAUGAGGGUUGGAAUAGAAUCUUUUCAAUGUGAAUCAUGAAGGAUCUAUUCAAAAUAAAAGUGAUAAAGAUUAAGAAAGAACUUAAGAAGCUAAGAGCUUUUAGAAGUCUUUGAAGAAAUAAUAUUAAUUUGAAAGGAAAAGAAUUUAAAAUGAAGAAGAAAAAGAUAAUUGAUAAGAAGUAAGACUAACUGUACAUCUGAUUGAGGAACAGGCUUGUUAAUUCAAACUAUUAUAACCAAUUGGGAAUUGAAUUAAGUUAACAGUUAACUCGUAAUUGAAUGUCUAAACUAACAAUGUAUACAAUUACAGAUGAGACUAUAAAAUUGCAAAAAUACUGCUGAUUGUGAAUCAAUUUGAACAUGCCAAUCCUUAGGAAUUCCUUUCAGUAUCAUGGGAUUUAGAUCUCAAUUACCUUUUUUAUUUGAGUACGAUGACAUCCCGAACUAUCAAAAAUACCCACUUGUCCAAACGUGCCUAUGUCCACUUUAUCAUUUAUAUAUGAAAUGUUCUAAUUAAAUGGAGCAAGUCCACAUAAUACAAUCAUUUUCAAUUACCCAGCAUUUGGAAUACAGAUGCUUUGUUUCUUCGUUUUUUUUAUUUUUUGUUCUUUUUUAUUUACUUGAUACAACUAAUAAGUAAACUCAUAGCAUUUUCUAUCACCUCUUUUUUUUUUGGGAGUAUUAGUAAAUCAACUCUGUAAUGCUCUGCCUCUUUACCAUAAAAGCUGCAUUUUAAUGGCAUCAGCUUACAGUUAUGUGUACUAAGUAAAACAAUUCUUUAUUGUGACAUUUUCAUCCUCCAGAAAAUACAUAAAUAAAAUAAAGGAAAUUUUAUUUUUGUUAAAAUCCAUGAAUAUUAAUUACUACCUUGUUCACUGUUCAGUAAAAAUAAAACAACAGUUUUUUUUUUUUUUAAUUUAACAAUAUUGUGUUAGAAUAUACUUCCCAGGUAAGGUUGAUAGAAAAAACCAAAUUUCAAUCAGUAUUGGGAUUCUGUCCCAAAACAAGCACUUACUUAUUACAACUUUUACUAACUUAUUUUUCCACCACACAAUUUACUCAAUUUUUAUUUAUACCACACAAUUUAACUUAUUUUAACUACCACUAACUUAAGUUACUUGGCUAGGGUAAAAUUAUGUUGCAACUGUGGUAUGAUACCACAAUUACAAUCAAUCAUUAAAUUUACAGUUGUACAAUUGUAUUUAUUGGACCUAAUGAUUAAAAGUAACUGUGGUAUCUUGCAACAUAAUUGGACCUACUUUGCUAACAUAUUAUAGAAACCAACAUCCCAGAUUUUUCUUAAGAUAUUUCUACAGAUAUUUUAACAUUUUAGAUUAUAAAUUACUUUUCAACACUUAAUUUAAUCACUGAUUGUUGACGACGACGAAGCCAACAAAUUUGUUUCGUUGUGCUAAUCGGACAAGCGAUAAGGACUUCACAAGAGUACAAAACAGAGCCUCGAUCUAAUAAUAUUACUGAACAUAGCAUUUUUGUUUCCUUAUUAAUGGAUUUGUUUCCUUAUUAAUGGAGAGAAGCAGUUCUGUUUUUGCAGUGAUUAAGCGCAUAGAAGAUAUUAAUGGCUUUACUUAUCAUCAUCAACUUCCUUUUGUGUCUCCCCUUCUUCCUCUUCUUCUUUGCUUUGCAAAGGCUCAUAACCUCAAGAAAUAAUACUAAAUUACCACCCGGCCCCUGGGGCCUUCCCUUAAUCGGUAACUUACACCAGUUUGAUGUCUCAAAGCCUCAAGUGUCAUUUUGGGAGCUGUCACGGAAAUAUGGCCCCCUCAUGUCCUUGCGUCUUGGUUUUGUGCCAUCCCUAGUAGUUUCCUCAGCAAAACUGGCUAAAGAGAUAUUAAAAACCCAUGACCUUCAAUUUUGUAGCAGGCCAGCCUUGGUAGGACAACAAAAGUUAUCUUACAAUGGUCUUGAUUUGGCGUUUUCACCCUAUGAUGGUUAUUGGAGAGAGAUAAGAAAAAUUUGUGUCAUUCAUCUCUUUAACUCUAACAGGGUAGAAAAUUUUCGACCCAUUAGAGAAGAUGAAGUUUCAAGAAUGAUUGAAAAGAUUUCAAAAUCAGUUGCUGCUUCUAAUCCCGUAAACUUAAGCGAGGUAAUGAUGUCUCUUACCAGCACCAUUAUUUGUAGAAUUGGAUUUGGCAAGAGGUAUGAUGACGAUAAAGCAACAAGUGCAAGAAGUAGAUUCCAUGCCCUGCUUAAUGAAACUCAAGCCUUGUUUGUAAGCUUUUUUGUUACAGAUUAUUUUCCUUUCAUGGGCUGGAUUGAUAAGCUCACAGGAAUGAUGCAACGCCUGCAAAAUAACUUCCAAGAACUCGAUAGAUUCUACCAGGAACUCAUCGACGAGCAUUUGGAUCCAAACAGAACAAAAUCAGAAUUGGCGCAACAGGAGGAUAUAAUUGAUGUUUUACUUCAAAUACGAAAAGAUCGUGGAUUUAAAGUUGACUUGACUUUGGACCACAUCAAAGCGGUGCUCAUGGUGAAUAAUUUUAUAAAUAGUUAUAUGUAGACUCGUGCUCAGGCGCAGACUUAAAAUUUUGUGCAGAUACCCAAUUUUACAGUCUUGUAAAAUGGUUUAUAAUGCUGUAAAGUGCCUUUGAUGUCCGCCUGAACAUGAUUAAUUUAAUGUAAUUUUAUUUGCUUUUAACUAAUUUACUAUGUAUGUAUGUAUGUUGUUUGUUUUGCAGAACGUACUCGUUGCUGGAACAGACACGAGUGCAGCAACUGUGGUUUGGGCCAUGACUUACCUAAUGAAGAAUCCUAGAGCAAUGAAAAAAGUUCAACUGGAAAUCAGAUCGUUGAUUGGGUGCAACAAAGGCUUUGUAAAUGAAGAUGAUGUUCAAGAACUGCAUUAUCUUAAAGCGGUAGUGAAGGAGACAAUGAGAUUGCAACCCACAGUACCAUUACUAAUCCCAAGAGAAACAAUUCAAAAGUGCGUAAUAGAUGGGUAUGAAAUACCAGCUAAAACACUUGUCUUUGUAAAUGCAUGGGCGAUAGGAAGAGACCCUGAAGCUUGGGAGAAUCCGGAGGAAUUUUAUCCGGAGAGAUUCGUUGAUAGCUGUAUUGACUUUAAAGGGCAACACUUUGAAUUAAUACCGUUUGGUGCUGGCAGAAGAAUUUGUCCUGGGUUGAAUAUGGGAAUCGCAACUGUGGAUCUCGCACUUGCUAAUCUUCUUUACAAAUUUGAUUGGGAAAUGCCGCCUGGAAUGAAGAGCCAAGACUUGGACUUUGAUGUUCUGCCGGGAAUUACUAUGCAUAAGAAGAAUGCUCUCUCUCUUUCGGCUAAGUAUCAUGAGUAGGUAAAUUAAGGCACCUCGGACAAUAAGAGUUUGAUCUGAACUAAAUAUAUGUUAUAGAGAUUGCAUGUAUGUCCUGAAUUGUGCUUCUCAUGUUUCCUUUCUUUCUUCUUAUGUAUAAUGAAUGUUGAUGUCUAAGUGCCCAUAGGCUGAGUGGUUUUUAAUAAUUAAAUUUCUUUUAGUUCAAAAUUUUGGGAGGUAAGGACUAGAGAAUAAUAGUUACUCUGCUCACUCUCCUAUACUAAAAAAAAAAGGUUGAUAUGAAUGUGAAUAUUAAUCUAGUACGUUCAUUUCAUCUCAUAUUUUUUCUCCUAUAUUUUUUUCUUUAAAUUUAACUUCUAUCACUUAACCUGCUAUCUUUUUAUAUGAUUGGAUAGAGAUUGAAAUUUUUGCUGUUCCAUCUCAAUGUUAAUGCUUAUAUUAUCUUCACACCUUUACUGUAAUUUUUUACUUUUACUAUUAGAUGCUGAUAGGGUCUUUUCUUGGAGAUUGCUUCACAAAAAAAAUUCUGAAAGAAGAUUUUGUUGAUCGGAUAGCAAGCUUAUCCAUAUAGUUUAAUGGAUUAUCUGCAAGAGCUCUUUUUAGUGCGCAUACAGUUGUCCCUUCAUGUUAGCAUAUUCAUUCUGUCGUCAAUGAACUUUUGCAUUUAAAUGGUAUCAGUUCAAGUGAUGAAUGAAUUUUACCUAUUGCCUAUCUUGGACUAAAUUUAAUUUCAAAAAAUGAGCUUCCAGCUUAUGACUUAUACGUAUCUUGCACUUUGGUUUUACGAUCACCAUUGGAUGGAAGAGUGGCUCGAGUUUGUUAAUUGCUUCAGUCCCAGGACUAGUGUUUGGAAACAUAAAAUUUCUCAGUUCAGCAGCUAUAAAUCUGUUUCAUGAUUGUUAUUGCACACUAUUUCCUAUAUUUUUGUCUCCAUGCUCAUACUGAAUUAGUGGUGCAUUUGUCAUCUUUCGCCUCUCAUUAAAAUGUGCUUAUUAUUUUUUAUUUCAAUCGUAGGAUGGGAAGAUUGAUACUGAUUCCAUCUACAAUGGGUUUAAAGACAACGUGAGGUUAAUGUGGGAGCGUUUCUUGUCAUCCCAGCAAAUGUUGACAUAAACAACAGACUGCAAGCUUCCCCUACUCUCUGUUCAUAUUUGCAUUUGUGUGCAUCUUGUACUUGUUGUUGCAGAAAGAUGAAUAUGUAAGAAUAAGAUCGUGUUUGUAUGCAAUGGUCAAAUGUUUUUGCAAAAAAUGUCGUUGCUUGAGUUCCUCAAUUCUCAUUCUGAACUUCAAAUUUUGUACAUUUCUUUAACUUAAUUUUUUUUUUUUCUGUGUAAUAGUAGUAUAAGUUUGGUAUCAAAAUUAAGCUAGUGACAUACUUGGAUCACUUGGGAUCCACUUGCAAAUGUAUUUUGAAGAAAAGUUUUCUCCCCGCCUUUUAUGUAAUCACACCCACCAGUAAUAUGGUAAUUUAUUGAAAGGUCCUUGAUGCCCGGUAAAAGUUAUAAUUAAAUUAAUAAACUUAUCUUUUUAAAUUAAUAAACUCAUCUUUUUGAAUAAGUUCAUCAUUUUGUACGUAUAUUAGUUUUUUUUUUUUAAAUUCCUUUUAUUUCUAAACUAUUGGUUGGAAGCAAAUAUUUCACUGUAAUCUCCUGUCGACCAAAGGAGAUGCCUUUCCCAAAGCAAGAAAAGAAAACACAAAAAGCCCACUUCAAAAACUUGUGCAAGAAGGAGAUGUGAUUACGCUGUCUUUCUGUUUCUUGGUGCGUGUAUAGAUAUAUACAUACACACAUAAGUCUGAGGACCAGCUGGCCAACAGCCCACUAGGAAGCAAUUUUAAAAUUUUUGGUCAGUAUUGUUCUUUAUAUCUUAUGAAUUUUUCCUUCAAUUAUUAUAUUUUCACUCAGUUUUGUUUUUGGGCACGCGUUAUGUGAUUUUCUUUUGAUGAUUUCCGUGGCUUCUUUUUAGCUCUUAUUUUACUGUUUCUACUGGUUAGUUUAGCUACUGUCUACUGAGAUAAAAUUAUUUGCUUGAAUAACUUAAUCUUUUGCUAUUUUAUUACGUUCAGUUUAUAUACAGUUGAUUCAUUGUAACAAAUGUUAUCAUAAAUGAUUCUUGAGUAAUUUCAUUUAUUUACUUUUUCUUCUUUCAUAGUUGGCCUGUACGGUAUCAUUUACUUUUAUCUUUUUUCAAAUUUCUUUUAAUCUACAGAAUGUUUGUUUUAGUCCUGAUCUUGGGUUACUGAAAUGUUUCAUUCCCUUUUCCUAAGUAUUUUUGUUGCUUGUUUAUCGGGCAAUACUGCAACAGUGAUUUUAAUUCACAAAAUUCUGUAAAUACUUAUUAUUCUUAGUGUGGUUUUAAGGUAGAGUGAAGUUAAUAUUAUCAUAAUGGCUUACAUUCCUCCACAUAUGAGGCAUACGAAGGACCCCCAGAGGCCAUCUCCAGUUCCAGAGAUGAUUGUGCCUAAAUUCAACAGAAAAUUAAACUUGGGAUCAUCCAAGCAUAAUGCAGACAUAAGUGGAAAGAUCGUGUAUGCAGAUCCUGCCAUACACAGGUGGUUCAUUUGUGGCUUGGAUAAUGAUAGCAGCAGUCCUUCUGUCCGCUUUGUGGAGUUUUCAGACGACCCUGUUGAGCAUAAAAAAUCGACGACCAUUAAUCUGGCUCGAGGUUACUGAUCUGCAUUUGUAAUUUUAUCUUAAAUAUGUUCUACUUUCUUUCUUUAUUUAUAUCUGGUGCUAACUUUAGUUAUAUUGACAUUUGGAUUUUGGGUUGGUAGAUAACGAUAAAUUGUGUGGGAAUACAUCAAGAAGCCCAUGGGAAUCGAUAGCAGAAAAUGUAUGGCCAGAUGUAUUGAGUGCUUGUAAUAUUGUCAAGAACGAAAUGGAGGAAAAGCCAACAAUGGUUGCUAGAUUUGGCCAUCAUCUUUUCCGUGAGUAUGUGAUCUGGUUCCAUUGCUGUAACAGCUUGAAUUUUUUAUUAGGUCAUUCCUUUUCUUUGGACUUUGAAAUUAAAGCAGCAAAAAUGCAUAUUCAUACUUAAUUCUGACAGAAAUCUUAUGGUCAUAUAAGUGGUGGCAGCUAAAAUUAUGAGCUUUACCAUUAACCCUACCACCAGCUGUGGAUGACUGUAAAUCGGAUCUCUAAACCAGGGACAAAAGUUAAAAUUGCUUUUAAAAGCCAAAGAGGAAAAUGGCAAUUUAUAGUGCAUGCACUUCUUUCAGACUUGUAUCUCAUAGAAGCUUUCAUGGCAUCUGGAAUUUGGCUUUGGCUUUGCGUAGGACAUUUCAAUUGUUGCUGGUGGAAACAAAUAUAUCCAUUGUCUUAGUUUUGCUUGAUUUCCGGUGCAAGAAACAAAUAAAUUUGUUGCCGUGGCCAAGUUUUGUUGUUUGAUAUUUCAUUGGGACAACAAAGUAUACCACUGCUUCGCCUAUUUCUUACAUCUUUGCAUCAUAUAUUUCCAUUCUUCUAUCACAUCUUUGAAGCUUCUACUAGUUCUCAUAUUAGAAGCGCCUCAAAGAAAUAAUUAUUAUAUUAUUCGUCUUAAUGAAGGAGUGACAUACUGAGCUUAGAAAAUGCGAAAGAAGGUCAGGUUGCUGAAUCUGCUUUGAGCCCACUGAGGAGAUGCUUUUACACUGGUGUCCCUCCUACAUACAUGGGAAAAAUUGUAAAUGAAGUUGUGCCAAAAAUUGGGGUUGGUUUUGUAGAGAACAAGGAUAUAUACCAUGUCAAGGUAGUUCUCCUGCAGUCCUGCUAAAUACUUUAGUAGUCAUGACCAAGUUUCUUUUAUCUCUCAAUUAAUUAGCCAUUGAUUCCCCCCCCCCCUUUCUUUUUCUUGUGUAGUUGUCUGAUGGCACACGACAAAUUACGUGCAAAUGUACUGUUAAAGAAGAUCAAAAGCUUCAUCUCUAUAAGGCAAGUCUUUUGCUACUGGCUGAGUAUUAUUUAUGGACAACGGGUCCAAGUUUAUAAGUUGCCUCUUGUGUUAAGGAGACUUUUGCUAGUGGAAACAUUGAAACAAGACUUAUGAUGUUUUGAUUUGAAUGAUAUAAUCUUUUCACUGUGAAUUAUGAAGGAGAUGUCGAAUAUAAGCGAUAGAUAUCAAGAAAGAGACGAAACCUUUGUGUCUCAAAAGAACCUUUUAGAAGUCUCUCCAGGAAUAAUCUCAGUUAAGAGGAAAAGAAUUUAAAAUGAAAAGAAGGAAGAAAAUUCUCAAGAAGUAAGACUAAUUCUACAUCUAAUUGAGGAACAGGCUUGUUAAUUUAACAAGGAAAGCUCCAGUAGCUAUUUAUUAUAAACCAAUUAAAAAUUGAAUUAAAUUAAUAGUUAACUUGUAAUUGAAUGUCUAAUCCAACAAACUAUGCAUAAGAUUACAGACGUAACUAUGUAAUACAAAAAACCUCUGCUUAUUGUAGACCAAAGUGAAUAUGCCAAUAUUUAGGAAUUUCUUUCAGCAUCAUGGGAUUUAGAUCCCUAUAAUCUUUUUUUAUUUUAGUGUAGUGACGUCCGGAAGACCAGAAUUAUCACGUACCUCGUACUAGUCGUUUUAUUUAUUUUGUCUUUUAAAGCGCCACAUUAUUUCCCAUACAGUCAUAAUAUAUCUAUUUUUUGUUUAUUUAUCGUUGCCGUGUGUGGAGUCUCAUCUUGAAUAUGAACAUUUUUCCGGUAGGUCGAACUGAACUCUGUUCGUCACAUGGUAGCAGACAUGUUAUGCGUUCAUAAAAAUCUAGACCUGAGGUUGGCACUAUGUUCAAAGAGUACCUUAUCUGCUCUCUCGGUAAGUCAAUCUGCUCCUCCGUGCAUGUUUUAGCUGGACUUUUAAGUUACGCCUUCUUUUUUCCCCUUUUUAUUUUAUUUGGUCAUUUGCUUGUUGGAAUCAUCAUCAUUACAGAAUGAUGAAGAAAAAUUCAAGACCAGGGGAAAUAAGGAAAUAUUAAACUUAUAGCUUUUGUUUUAUCAUAGAAAGUUUACUUUCAAGGGGUUGAGAAAAAAUUUAUAUAUAUAUAUAUACACACACACAUACACACACACACACACACACACACGACAAGCUUAAAACGGUUAAACAUUAGCAUGCAUGAUCCUUUUCUUCAAAACUGAAACUUUACAAAUGUUAAAAAUAGAAUAACAAAUAAAUUAUUAGAUUUCCAAAAUCAGUUACCGUUAUGCAGGCUUAAAACAAAAGUUAAAUAUAAGCUCUUUUUUUUUUUUUUGGGGGGGGGGGGGGGGGGGGGGCGUGUGUGCCUAUGAGUAGUCCCAGCAAAUGAAUUCUAUGAUCAAACUGAAAUUUUUGAAUUUUCAGGAUGAUGAAAUGAACAGCAUUAGAAUUCUGAUUAAUUCAGCCAUUCCGGAUCCGGAAGUCAAGGGUGGGUUAAGAUGGCCCAUGGGGAAGUCAUAUUCAGGGGAUUACACAAUUGUUGGGGUUUGGCACAAUGAAUUUAAAUCAUAUAAAAGCCCAUCACUAAAGCUUAAGGUAAGAAAUGUUGAUCGAUUUAUUUUCAAGACUGGAACUGGGGAAGCUACGAUUGAGAUUAAUCUAAAGUUGAGAAGACUAGUUUCAGAGAUUCAGGUACUUGCUGCUUUUUGCUUUAACUUUUAUCACAAAACCUACUAUCUUUGUGCAUGAUUACAUGGAUCUUGAAAUUCUUGCUGUUAUGUCAUAAUGUUAAUGCAUAUUUUGUCUUCACGCAUUUCUUACUGAACUUGUGUCUUGAGCUGUAAUUGUAAUUUCCAAUUUUUACUAUUAGAUGGGUAUUUUAUUGGGGAUUUCUUUACUUAAAAAAAAAAUAUGUUUGACAGAGAAUAUUUUAACGAUGAGAUUGCAAUAUUGUAAUAGAUAAUCUUCAGGAACUCUUUUUACCUUUUAGUAGUUAUGCAGUUGCUCCUCUGUGUUAGCUUAUUUAUUCUAUCAUAUGUAACGAAUGACUUUUUACCAAAUUUGAUUUCAAAGCUGAGCUUCCAGCUUAUGACUAAUAUUUGUGUCUUGCACUUUUGUUUUACAAUCACCAUUAGAUGGAAGAGUGCUUAGAGUUAGUUAAUUGAUUCAAUCCCAGGAUUAGUCUUUUGAAACAUAAAAUUUAUCGGCUAAGCUAUAUAAAUCUGUUUCAUGUUUCUUAUCGCACACUAUUUCGUAUGGCUUUGUCUCCAUGCUCAUACAAAAUUAGUGUUGUAUUAGAUGUCUUCUGUCUUUCAUUCACAUGUACUUAUUACUUUUUCUUUCAAUCGUCAGGAUGGGGAGAUUGAUACUGAUUCCAUCUACAAUGGGUUUAACGACAACUUGAGGUUAAUAUGGGACCAUUUCUUGUCAUGGGAGUCAUAACUUUUGACAAAAACAACAGAUUGCAUGCUCUCCCCGCUCGGUUCAUAUUUGCGUUUGUGUGCAUCCUGCAGUUGAAGAUGUAGAAUGAUGUAAAUGCAAGAAUAAGAGCAUGUUCGUAUCCAAUGGUAAAAUGUUUUUGCUAAAAUGUAUGGACUUGUAACAGCUUGUUGCGUGAGUUUCUCAAUCUCCUGAACCUCAAAUUUUGUCCUAUUUUCACCCCGGCUUUUUCCCCCCGUCCUCUGUAAUAGUUAUAUUUGGUAUAAGUUUGGCAGUUCCUGUGUAAAGUGUUUCAUAUUCAUGUGUGGAAUAAAUAUCAACAUCCAGAUACAAGAAAGUUUGAUUUUAUUUGUAAGACCUGUCUCUCAAAGUUAAUCUAGUGACAUGCUUGAAGCACUUGGGAUCCACUAGUUGGAUGUAUUUUUGUUAAGAUUUAUUUAGCAUUUUGUAUGUGUAUCAGUGCCUUUUUUUUUUGUUGUUAAACCGUUGGUUAGAGGGCAAAUAUUUCACAUUAAAGUGGGGUCUGCUUGCCACCAAGGGAGAUGCCUUUCCCAAAGCAAGAAACGAAAACUCAAAAGCCCACUUCAUAACUUGUGUAAGAAGGAGAUGUAAUUGACAUAUGCUGUCCUUUUUCUUGGUGCGUGUAUGUGUGUGUAUACACACUUAAUUCCGAAGAUCAACUGAGCCAACAGCCAAAACUUGAAAGCAAUUUUAAAAUUUUCGGUUAGUAUUGUACUUUAUAUCUUUUGAAUUUCUCUUUAAUUUAUUAUAUUUUCACUUUAGUUUUGUUUCUGGGUACUCUUUAUGGGCCACAAUUAUGGUACCACUGUGGUACCAUACCACAGCUGGAUCCAGCCAUUGGAUCCGGCCUACAGUGGUCCCCAUAGCUGGAUCCAAUGGCUGGAUCCAGCUGUGGUAUGGUACCACAGUGGUACCAUAGCCGGACCCCUCUUUAUGUGCUUUUCUUCGAUGAUUUUGGUGAGCUCAUAUUUUACUGUUUCCACUGGUUAGUUUAGUUAUUGUCUACUAAGAUAAAAUUAUUUGCUUCAAUAACAUAGAGUAUUGAGGUGUUGUAAUUUAAAAUUUUAGAAAAAAAUAUAUUUAUAAAAUAAAAGUUAAUAGUAUGUGGUAAAUAUAAUUUUAAAAUAAUAAUUUUAAUAAAAUUAGUAAAGAUAUAAUAGAUUUUCAUCAUAUAAAAGUAAAAUCAAAUCAACUUAAUUUCUAAACUACAUAAAUUAAUUUUUAUAAAACACUUUAGUGCUGUAACUACCCAACCUCAAUCUAAAGUAUAGCCUUAAUUGUUUGCUAUUUUAUUAUGUGAUUGUAUAUAGAGUUAAUUAAUUGUAUCAAAUGUCAUUAUAAAUGAUGCAUGAGCAAUUUCAUAUUGUUUUUCUUUCCUUCAUUGAUAAUUGGCUUGUCGGAUAUCUUUGAACUUUUUUUUUUCGCCUCAAAGUUCUUUUAGUCUGCAGAAUGUUGGUUUUAGUUUCGAUCUUGGUUACUGCAAUAUUUCAUUCAUUCUUUCUAAGCAUAGUGGGUUCAUUUCACAAAAUUCUGUAAUAAGUACUUAUUGUAGUUUAAGGUAGCGCGAAGUAAUAUUAUCGUAAUGUCUUACAUUCCACCACAUAAGCAGCAGUUUGUAAUCAAGACUGCAGAGAAUCUUGCAGAUAUAUUGACUAAGGUGGUGACGACAAUUAAGUUUGAGCAUUAUCUAAACUUGAUCAAUAUCUUACAAGUUUGAAAAUAGUCAGAGAAGACAGAGACUGGAGGAUGGUUUGUUGAUAGUCGGCUCAGAUUUACUAAAUUUUCGUUAAGGUAGAGAAUUGUUGAAAAAUCAAGCAUGCUUGCAUGAGCUAGCUAGCAUGCAAAUUUCAAGCCCACCAAUGUUCAGCUAGCGUGAUCCAAUUGCAUGUGCUAGCAUGAUCUCUUCGUCAAAAGUCACACCAAAGCCAUUAAAAUUGAAAAUGGCCAAAGUUUUUUUUUCAUGCAUUUAUAUUGUAAGAUUUGCCUAUAAAUAGAGGAGUAGAAUGCAUUUGUAAAGCAUCCCAAUUUGUGAGAAGUAGAGAGCAAUUGCAAGUGAGCUCUUUGAGAGAAUUUGAGAGAGCUUCCACUUGAGUGUUCUAGUUGUUGUGCAAAUUUUAAUGUACUCGCAAGCGCACGAAUCUAUUGUAGUAUAGAUCAAUGGUGACGAGUGUCGAUCCCACGAGGAGGUGGAUUUUAAUUGUGUAUAGAAUUAAUUUUGUAAAUGGGUGGUUGGAUCUGUGGUGGAAAUGAAUUGGAAUAUGCUAAAACUUAAAUUAAAAUGGCGAGAAUAAAUUCUAAAAUUGGAAUUGCAAUGGCGAGAAUAAAUUGAAGAGAAAUGUAUUGAAAUGACGUACUUGGGUAUCUGGAUCCGUAUCAACAUGCAUCAUGGGCUAAAUAAUCCGUAUUAAUGCCAAUUAAAUCAUGAGGGGGGAAUCCACACCUCAUGAACCACGCUCUAAUCAAUAUGGUGCUAAGGGCUUAUCGUGCCAAAUAAUAAUAACCUUAUACUAGAGAGCCGGUGUAACCAAGGCGGUAUCUAGACAAGAUCAGUAUUAUUUGUCGACGAUAAGUCAAAUCAUCCACAAAAACUAGAGGGGAAAAGAAAAUAAAUUUACCAAAUAAAGCCCAUGACACAUGUUGAGACUUCACCUUCAACCCAAGCUUGAAAGGAAAUUAGCUACUCAUAAUUGAACUAGGGGCAAAAUGAAAAUUUAUUAAAAUACGAAGAAAAUACAAGAUGGAGAAGGAAUUACAGAAAAUGGAUCCCAAAAAUGGAUUCAGAGAUAUCAAAUUAGGGGGGGGAGGCCCCUUUUUUAUAGAUACAUGGAGUAAAUCAUGGCCAUCGGAUUAAAAACAGUUUGGACGCUCAGGAUUGCGCCACGUCAUCAGUCAACAGUCCACGGUUUGACCACGCGGAUGAACAGUAACACGGUUUGACCACGCGGAUGAACAGUAACGCGGUUUGGUUGAAAAUAAUCCUGUGUGAUGCAUGCACCGUACGCGAGAUUUUUCGUCCACUGAUAUGCUGCCACGUCACCAUCAACAGUACAUAAGAAUUUUAGUCCAACAGGAUCGUGACACCUCAUCAGUCAAUGCCACAUCAUCGGUCAAUGCCACGUCAUCGAUCCGUCUAUGUGAACAGUGUCGUGAACAGUAACGUAGACAGUACCGUAUACGUGAAUAGUACCGUACAUGUGAAUAGUGCCAUUUUUCUUUUUAUGCCCCUCCUAAGGUUUUCGACCGUCCUGAGUUCAAAAGUGAUGUCCGUUUUGCCAUCUGAUCUCUCCUUUAUUGUGAAAUAACUAUAAUGCCCCUAAAAUACAUAAAAUACUUAAUUAAAAUAAAACACAUGUAAUUAAAUCACAAGAAGGUUAAAUACAUAAAAGUAAGGGUUUUUAAUAAGACUUGAAAUGUAAAAUGACGGUUUUCUCCUUUAUAAAUAUGCAUUUUCUAACACUCAACACACCCCCCAACCAGCUUAUUGCUAGUCCCUAGCAAAUAAAGCGAAAACAAAAUUCAAAUUCAAAAUGAUUUUUUUUUUUUUUUUGAACUACUCGUGUUUAUUCAAUCAGAUUAAUGAUAGCAAUCAAAUAAAAGUAUAAGCAUUAUCUCCAGUCUAAAGCAACAUCACACCCACAUCAACCAUCCACAUGAAUUAGCCCAGUAGACUUUGUUAUAGCUACUUUCAAGAAUGACAUGUCAAACCCCAAAAUCUCACUUGAAGUAGUGACACUCUCACAAAGAAAUUAAAACCCAAUAAACAUAGUCACUCCAAUGAAUGGUAAUUGAGAGAGAAAAUAAUAAAGAAAUGAUAUCACAUGCUCUCACCAAGAUGAAAUAAAUAUGCCCUCAGCUUAGAAAUAAUGCGAUCUCAAGUCAAAUAAAAUGUUAGUCAACCCACUUUAUUUAUCUUUUUUUUUUAUUAUUAUUAUGCAUCACUACAUCUUUUUAGCCCAUAUAACUAGCUUCUACUUCAAACUAUAGUUCCCUAAAAUCAAGAAGGACUUUUAUUAGGACGUAACGUAGGCUAGGGAUAUGGCUAACAAAGAAAGGAAAUAAGGAAAACAAAGUGUAUGUUUGAAAAAAAUGCAGAAUUUUUUUUUUUUUUUUUUUUUUGGAACUUGCAAGGUGGAUUUCACCUAUUAUUGUUAUUUUUAUUCUUUUGAAACAACAACUUUUGUUUUUGUUUUUGUUUUUUUUGUUUUUUUUUUUUGCUUUUAUUUGGCAUAACUUCACUGAACAACAUAAUUAUUUACAUUUUCUCAAACAUAAAUAGGUGAUGGAACUUAAAAGACAUUGGGUAAUACUCCAAAUCGGAGUGGGUCAAGAUGAUAAGUUGACAAAGAAAAGGUUUUUGUUCUUUUUUUUUUUUUUUUUUUUUUUUUUUUUUUUAAGGCUCAAAAGGGGUAACUAUGGAUAUUUAAUAAAAGGGAUGGCUAGAAAGGCUCAAACGGAUCAAAGAUGGCCUUUCUAUCGUCUUUUAGGGCUCUAAAUAAUUAUCCAUAUCUACUAGUUAGAUGGGCCUCCCAAUGUAGCAACACACAUUUUUUUCUUUUUUCUUUUUUUUUUUAAUUUUACCAUAUUUUUUUUUUUUUAAAAGGGUUAACUUAAAAGAAAUCUAGAGAUCGUGUAUAAAAUAAUAAACUGCUAAGCUGUAUAGAGAAUGGGUAAAAGGGUUACUCUCCAAGAAAAUGAUAGGCUCAACUACUCACUUGGCACUUAUUUAUGACAUGUUCAUUCCUUCAAGCAACUCAUAUUUGUCUCCGACAUCAACAUGUAAAGUAGCAAACAUAGCGUAACAUCACUUAAGACCAAAGAUAAUACAAAUACUAAAAUUUGAAAUUAGUCAUGUCAUCCAAUGUUAAAACAAAUAACACAAUUUUUUUUAAACAACAUUCUACCCCCCAACCUAUUCUAAACAUGAAAGGAAAAUAUGCAUGCAGAAAUGUGAAAAUGAUGUAGAAAAAUUAAUUAGAAAAAGAAUUUUUUUUUUUUUUUUUAAACUAAGAAGAUGCGUUUCUAGAGGCACUACACUCCAUAUUCAGCCAUCUUCGACUCAAAAAUUUGAAACUACAUAUUUAUAAAGGAGAAAGAGGAAGAAAACAGGUUUUUUUUUUUUUUUUUUUUAAAACGAUGAAGAUGCGUUUCUAGAGUAACUACACUCCAUAUUCAGCCAUCUUCAACAUAAAAUGUUAGCAACAGUUAGUUUCUACAACAAAAAAUCAGUAAAAACUUAACCAAGAUUCCACAAUUGUCGACUAUUCCCUUCCCCCAACUAGAACGAAACAUUGUCCUCAAUGUUUUAAAGGAAAGAAGUAGAGUUUAGAAGACAUCACCUGGGUGGUGCAACACAGAAGAAAAUAUUUACAAGCGGAGAGUUAAAUCUAAUUUGUACUUCUUACUGCGGCUACUGUUACCAUCAUUAUUUGGUCGCUCCAACACAAAGGUCCAGGGGUCUGGCUCCGGUUUAUAAGCUUGUAACAUAUCAAGUAGCUCAUUAGCAGUGUGAGCACAAAUAAAGAGUUUUUUCACAUUAGAAGGAAUGAAAUAGUUUUUUAUUGCAUGGUUAAGAAAUGCGAUAAAGUCAUCAUAAAAGUUAUUGACAUUUAACAAACCGAUAGGUUUCUGGUGGAUGUGCAGAUGGGCCCAAGAUGCUAGUGUCAUAAGUGCCUCUAGUGUUGCAAGAUCUCCUGGAAGGAAAAUAAAAGCAUCAGCAUGAUUAAGCAUUUCAGUUAUUCUUUCUUGCAUACCUGAGACGACUAACUCUUCUCCAGUUGAUGAGUCAGACGAACUGCCCAAUGGUUUUAGGACUCUUGGGAUGAUGCCUAACACUUGACUUCCUCUGAUAAAAGCUGCUUCUGAGACCAUUUUUGAUAACCCUCGGUUACCUCCUCCAUACACCAAAUGUAAUUUUCUCGCUGCUAUGCUUCGACCAAGAUCUAUGGCUGCCUCAACGAACUCUUUAUGUUUGCCAUAGGUAAAUCCAGAAAGCACACAAAUGUUCUUGAAUUGUCUAUUGGGAGUAGCGGCCAUUGUGAUACUUCUCAAAAAUAAUUUGUGAGUGCUUGACAAAAAAUAGAUCACAUUUAAGAAUCUUGGUGACAGUGGAUCACAGCUGUGAAUGAGGUAACAUGUCAGUGUGAAAUAACGCGUGAAGCACAUGGCUUGCGAGUCAAAAAGGAAACAGUAAAAAGGAAAAAGCAAACAGUAAUAAAAUUAUUAAAGACAAUAAUGCAAACAAUAAAACAACAGUGAAAUGAAAUAAAAUAACAGUAAAGUAAAAUGAUAUUUACACGUAGUUGCGACUGUGGCUCACAUCUUCCUCUGGUUUUACGUCCAGAAACGGCUUGAACGCCCUCUAUGGGUCGAGGAUGGGCUUCCCAUCCAGUUUUCUUAUAAACUGGCAAACAGGGUCGUUUAUAGUCAGAUUCCCGAGACUAUAUCGUGCAUGCUCUUUCUGGAAUAAUGGCCAUAACCGGAGAAUCGCUCCUUGCACAUAUCCACUGGGAUGCGUUUCAAGAGACAAAAGGAUAUCAUCCAAUGACUCCUUAUUCAAGCCAUCCCUAAUGAAUUGAAUCUUAUCUUCCCUGUUAUCAGACACCAUUCCUAAAGAACAUGGGUUUCUAUCGCAACUCAUUCUGGCACACUUAUGACAAGCAACAGAAAUUCUUCGAGCUCGUCGUUUUCUUGCAUAAUUGCCUUUACCACAACCAGGCAUGUAUGCAAUAAAUUUAUGAGGUAACUCACCUGCCAAUCGUACUUUAGCCUCGAUUAACCAACGGAUGUCUGCAGGUAUGUUAUUCCUCAUGAGCAAUCGCAUGCGUUCAGACCGGGCUUUAUAGAUUGUAAGGAGGGCAUUCUGAGGAAGUGAAGGGAAUCGCUUGUGAAGCUUUGCUAAAAUCUCGUUUCUAUCCAUACCUUCGCCUCAGAAUAUCAGUUAUUAUGGGAAACUGAAGUUAACCGACUUGAUUGUCACGGAGUACCGUUAUCCGCCACUUCACCGGGGUAACAAACUAAAGCACACAAACAGAAAAACAAAUUAAAACACACAAAGAAAAUUAAAAUCGUCCUCUUAUUGAAUUUACCUCAAGCUCCAACUGGAUGUCGUAAACACUUCUCUCAAUGUCUCUGAGUUGGCGUUCUAAACCCUCAACAUAGGCUACUAACUCUGGUGGUUGUAGAGCCCAAAUGCGUUGUGUUUUACAAAAUAGAAUCUGCCUUUUGAGAUGAGUUUUGACACGUUGAAGUGGUUUAAGAAUGUUCAGGAGGAACGGUCUAAGUAUGAGACUCAUGAUUAAAAAUGAUAAGAGAAAACUUAAUUGUUAAACAAACACACUUAUGCAAAAAUAAUUUCAAUUAGCAAAAGAAUAAUAAAAAGAAAGAAAGAAAAAUCAAAUCAAUAAAAAGAGAAAAAAAAAAUUAAUUCAAAUCUGGUGGGUCACUCAAAUUUAUUUCGGUGUCUUCUUCAUGUGGUUGGUACUCUAGAUAUGGCUUUAAUCUUUGACCAUUAACUUUAAACGUGACACCGUUCUUUGGGUCUUUAAUUUCAAUUGCCCCAUGUGGAAAAACAGUAUGAACAAUAAAGGGACCAGACCAUCGAGAGCGUAACUUACCUGGGAAUAGGUGCAAGCGAGAAUUGAAUAAAAGCACUUUCUGACCUGGAGUGAACGAUUUUCUCAUAAUUUGCUUAUCAUGGAAGACUUUCAUUCGUUGCUUGUAAAUCUUGGCAUUUUCGUAUGCAUCAUUGCGAAUUUCUUCAAGUUCUGCCAGCUGUAAUCUUCUUUCUGAGCUGGCUUGCUGCAUGUCAAAGUUGAAUUUCUUGAUGGCCCAAUAUGCACGAUGCUCGAGUUCCACAGGUAGGUGGCAAGCUUUUCCAUACACUAGCCUGUAGGGUGACAUCCCAAUCGGGGUCUUGAAAGCCGUUCUAUAUGCCCAUAAUGCAUCAUCAAGUCGUAAUGACCAAUCUUUUCUGUCUGGCCUCACCGUUUUUUCUAAUAUGUGCUUGAUUUCUCGAUUGGAGAUCUCAACUUGGCCACUGGUUUGCGGAUGAUACGGGGUCGCCACUUUGUGUGUGAUUGAAUACUUUGUCAAAAGAGCUUUGAAUGUUUUGUUACAAAAGUGGGCACCACCAUCACUGAUUAUCGCUCGAGGGAAUCCAAAGCGUGAAACAAUGUUGCUUUUCAAAAAUCCUAUCACCACUUUGUGAUCAUUGGUUCUGCAUGGAAUUGCUUCCACCCAUUUCGAUACGUAGUCAACACCAACCAAUAUGUAUUGAUGGCCAAAAGAAGGGGGAAAGGGUCCCAUGAAGUCGAUACCCCAUACGUCAAAAAUCUCAACCACUAAAAUUGGAUUUAGUGGCAUCAUGUUCCUUCGUGUAAUGCUCCCCAUUCGUUGACACCUAUCACAUGAAGAACAGAAAGUGUAAGCGUCUCGAAAUAUAGUUGGCCAAUAGAAACCACAUUGUAAAACUUUUGUAGCUGUUUUCUUAGCACUAAAAUGGCCUCCACACGCUUGUUCAUGGCAGAAUGAAAGGAUAUUUUGAAUUUCACUUUCUGGGACACAUCGCCUAACAAUUUGAUCUGCACAAUACUUGAACAAAUACGGGUCAUCCCAAAAGAAAUUCUUUAUUUCCGCAAAGAAUUUAGCCUUGUCUUGCUUGGUCCAAUGCUCUGGAAGUUUACCUGUAACAAGAUAAUUAACUAUAUCAGCAUACCAAGGUAAUACUUCCACAUUCAUUAAUUGUUCAUCUGGAAAUGACUCAUUCAAUAUUAAUGGAUCUGUAAUUGUGUCAAAAUGGAGACGAGAGAGGUGGUCCGCCACAACAUUUUCUGUGCCUUUCUUAUCCUUGAAUUCCAAGUCGAAUUCCUGCAAAAGUAACACCCAACGAAUUAGUCUAGCUUUUGCAUCUUUCUUUGUGAGAAGAUAUUUAAGAGCAGCAUGAUCUGUGAAUAUAAUUAUUUUACAACCAAUGAGAUAAGAUCGAAAUUUCUCUAAUGCAAACACUACUGCUAGCAUUUCUUUUUCAGUAGUUGAAUAAUUCAACUGUGCAUCAUUCAAUGUCAUACUAGCAUAGUAAAUAACGUGGGGAAUUCGAUCAACUCUUUGUCCUAAUACUGCUCCUACUGUAUAAUCAGAUGCAUCACACAUGAGCUCAAAUGGUAAGUUCCAGUUUGGGGCCUGAAUGAUGGGUGAUGAUGUCAACAACUGCUUUAAUUUUUCAAACGCCAUGAGACAUGAAUCAUUAAAGAUAAAAGGUACAUCCUUAGCAAGUAAAUUGCAUAAGGGUCUAGAAACUUUGCUAAAAUCUUUAAUGAAACGUCUAUAAAAACCAGCAUGUCCAAGGAAAGAUCUUACUUCUCUGACUGUUUUAGGUGGAGGAAGAUUAGAAAUGAGAUCCACCUUGGCUUUGUCAACCUCAAUACCUUUGCUCGAAAUGAUGUGACCGAGAACAAUACCUUGUUUUACCAUAAAAUGGCACUUCUCCCAAUUCAAGACUAAGUUCUUCUCGGUACAUCUCUGCAGAACUAGCGUUAGAUGAUGUAAACAUUGAUCAAACGAGUCACCAAAGAUAGAAAAAUCAUCCAUAAAGACUUCAAGGAAUCGUUCAACCAUAUCAGAAAAAAUGCUCAACAUGCAUCGUUGGAAUGUAGCAGGUGCAUUACAUAAUCCAAAUGGCAUUCUCCUAUAUGCAAAAGUGCCAAAAGGGCAAGUGAAAGUAGUUUUCUCCUGAUCUUUUGGUGCUAUGGGAAUCUGAUUAUAUCCUGAGUAGCCAUCUAGAAAGCAAUAAAAUUCAUGGCCUGCUAAUCUAUCAAGCAUUUGAUCAAUAAAUGGUAAAGGAAAAUGGUCUUUACGUGUGACAGAAUUCAACUUUCUAUAAUCAAUGCAUACACGCCAUCCUGUAGUUACUCUAGUUGGUAUCAAUUCAUUAUCAGCAUUGGUAACUACUGUGACUCCUGACUUUUUGGGGACGACUUGUACAGGACUGACCCAUGAACUAUCAGAAAUUGGGUAAAUGAUACCUGCAUCUAAUAGCUUAAGGACUUCAGUUCUAACAACUUCUUUCAUGUUAGGAUUUAACCGACGUUGCAUCUCCCUAGUAGUUUUAGCAUUUUCAUCAAGGUGAAUGUAAUGCAUGCAGUCUACUGGAUUUAUACCUUUUAUGUCUGCUAUGGUCCAUCCUAAUGCCCCUUUGUGCUCUUUUAACACAUCCAACAACUUACCUUUUUGUUCGUCAUUUAGGGAUGAUGAGAUGAUUACCGGUAGAGUGCUUUCUUCUCCCAAAAACGCAUAUUCCAAUGUGUUGGGCAAUUGUUUGAGCUCGAGUUUUGGUGGUGAUUCUGAUGAUGGGAUGAGUUUCUUUUCUGACGGUGCUAGUUGUUCUACUCUUGACUUCCAUUUAUUAGUGUCCAUGGAUGGUGCUGAGUCAAGUAGGGCGUUGACCUCUUCGACCGAUCUAUCAAUAUCAAAAUCCAAACCAAAGUGAGUUAAGCAUGUUUGUAAAGGAUCAUCACUAAGGUUUGAAAGAAAAGUAUUAUCAACUAUUGUUUCUAUUAAAUCCACAUCAACAAUUCCAUCAUCUGCACUGUGAGGUUGUUUGGCAAUGUUAAAGAUGUUUAGCUCCAUAGUCAUGUUGCCGAAGGACAAUUGCAUAUUUCCGGUCCUACAUUGAAUAUGAGCAUCUGCAGUUGCCAAGAAAGGUCGGCCUAGAAUAAUGGGGAUGUGCUUCCUUGAGUCCUGUAUUGGUUGAGUGUCAAUUACAAUGAAAUCAACAGGAAAAUAAAACUUGUCUACCUGGAUAAGCACGUCCUCCACAAUACCACGAGGUAUUUUUGUGGACCGAUCUGCAAGUUGUAACACCACUGGAGUUGGGUGUAAUUCUCCCAGUCCAAGUUUCACGAAUACAGAGUAAGGUAACAAAUUUACACUAGCUCCUAAAUCCAACAAAGCAUUCUCAAUUGUGUGGUUCCCUAUACUACAUGAGAUAGUGGGGGAGCCUGGGUCUUUGCAUUUUAAAGGAAUUUUAUGUUGGAGUAUAGAACUAACGUUUUCUGUUAAAAAUGCCUUCUUUUGAACAUGCAUAUUUCUCUUUUUAGUACAAAGGUCUUUAAGAAACUUGGCAUAAGAUGGAAUUUGUUUUAUAGCAUCAAGCAAAGGGAUAUUGACACUUACCUGUUUGAAGAUUUCGAGAAUCUCACCUGUGGAUUUUCCCUUCUUGCCUUUAGCUAACCUCUGAGGAAAUGGAGCUUUCGGAAUAUAUUCUCGUGGGUUGGUUUCUUCUCUCUCCUCCGGUGGUGAGUCCUCAGCAUUUACAGGUACAAUUUGAUUUUCUUUUGUCACCUGCAUCUCCACUUUAUUGUCGACUUCUUUUCUUUUUCUCAAGGUCAUUACUGCUUUGACCUCUCCAUGCUGCUGUGGUGAACUGGUACUUGCUUCAUGCACUCCUUUAGGAUUAGGCACUGGUUGACUCGGAAACUUGCCUUUCUCAACAGUCAUUGCCAAGGUCUGAACUGAAGAAGCAAGCUGUCCCACCAUCUUCUCGAGGCUUGAAACUGAUUGGGCUUGUGAAUUGAAGCCCGCUCUCAACUCAUUUCGUAGUCCAUCAAUGGUGCGAUUCUGUUGCUCAAUCGUGGAGUGAGUAACAUUCUUGAAAUUCUGGAAUGCAUCCUCCCAUGGUCUGGGUUGAGAGUAGUUCUGGUUUUGAUUGUAUGGUCUAAAUGGUGGCUGAGAGGCUUGAGGAUUUUGAGGAAUUGGUUGCAUUGGUGGAGCUGGAGCUGCUGGUCCAUUCUGUUGAAAUCCUUGAGACCAUGAAAAAUUGGGGUGGUCUCUCCAUCCAGGAUUAUAUGUGUUGGAGUAUGGGUUGUAAUUAGAUGGCUUUCUCAUUACACCUAUGGCAUUGGCUUGAUCGGAGUAUGAGUCAUGGUCAUGUGGUUCUGUUGAUUUAGCAGUCGAUAACGAUGCUAUUUGUCGAGCAAGACCUUCAACCAUCUCCUUGACUUCUUUGAUUCCCGAAGUUGACUCGCCAAUGUGAACCUCAUUCACUCCUUUAAUCCUUCUAGUAUUCCUGAGUGAUCGACUCCGUUGUUGGGAAUUAUCCGCUUGUCGCUGGAAGAAUUCCCAAAUCUCUGUUGCGCUUUUUGACAUUAGCUCUCCUCCACUUGUUGCCAUUAGCCAUUCUUGCACAUUCGGCAAUAAUCCCUCCAAAAAGUAUUGGCAUUGGUGCCAUUUUUCGUACCCAUGAUGUGGACACUUCAAGAGUAGUCCAUUGAAUCGCUCCCAAGUUUCGAAAAACUGCUCGUCCUCUCUUUGUGUAAACUCUGAAAUUUCCCUGCGAAUAGAAUUGGUUUUAUGCACUGGGAAAUAUUUAUUUAGAAAUUUUGUUACCAUUUGUUCCCAUGAUGAAAUGCUAUUGGCAGGCAAUGUAUUAAGCCAUGAACGAGCUCUAUCCUUUAAAGAAAAUGGGAAUAGUCUAAGUUUUACAUCAUCAUCUGAAAAAUUUUCAUAUUUAAAAGUUUGACAAAUAGCAUGAAAAUCAUUCAAAUGAUUAUAUGGGUCCUCAUUUUCUAGGCCAUAAAAUGUGGGGAGACAAUUUAGCACACUAGGUUUUAAUUCAAAACUCCUAGCAGCUACAUUUGGGUAUCUUAUGCAUGAUGUGCUCAAAUUAGCUAAGGGACUAAAAUAGUCCUUAAAUGGCCUCUCCUGUGGUGCUUGUAAAUCCAUUUUAUUUUUAACGUGUUUGUGUGUGCGAAGUGUUUUUUCUAAUUCAAGGUCUAUAGGUUCAAUAUUAGGUAAUAAUGACCUACGACCAUGCAUGCAAAAUAAAUAAAAUAAAAAUAAAGAUGCAAACAAAACAAAAAAUAAAGAUGGGAACAAAACAAAUAAAAAAUAAAGAUGAGAACAAAACAAAUAAAAAUAAAGAAGAGGGAGAAAUUACGAUACUAACCUCAUUGCGCUAUUACAACCUUACUAUAAAAAUACACAAAAAUAAAUACGUGAAAUAAAUUAACUAAAAAUUAAAUUAAUAAGAUAAACAAAAAUUACAAAGAAAAAAUAAAUUGAAAAUUAAAUUACAGAAUUUUAAAGAAGAGAAAAAGAAAAGAAAUACUAACCUUUAAAUGUAGAUUUACUCUUUUUUUUUAAAGAACAAAAAAAAAAAAAAAAUACAAGAAAACAAUUUAAAAUAAAUUAUUCACAAAAAUUAAUUCUAUGAAUUAAAACUACUUACCUCCCCGGCAACGGCGCCAAAAACUUGUUGUGCAAAUUUUAAUGUACUCGCAAGCGCACGAAUCUAUUGUAGUAUAGAUCAAUGGUGACGAGUGUCGAUCCCACGAGGAGGUGGAUUUUAAUUGUGUAUAGAAUUAAUUUUGUAAAUGGGUGGUUGGAUCUGUGGUGGAAAUGAAUUGGAAUAUGCUAAAACUUAAAUUAAAAUGGCGAGAAUAAAUUCUAAAAUUGGAAUUGCAAUGGCGAGAAUAAAUUGAAGAGAAAUGUAUUGAAAUGACGUACUUGGGUAUCUGGAUCCGUAUCAACAUGCAUCAUGGGCUAAAUAAUCCGUAUUAAUGCCAAUUAAAUCAUGAGGGGGGAAUCCACACCUCAUGAACCACGCUCUAAUCAAUAUGGUGCUAAGGGCUUAUCGUGCCAAAUAAUAAUAACCUUAUACUAGAGAGCCGGUGUAACCAAGGCGGUAUCUAGACAAGAUCAGUAUUAUUUGUCGACGAUAAGUCAAAUCAUCCACAAAAACUAGAGGGGAAAAGAAAAUAAAUUUACCAAAUAAAGCCCAUGACACAUGUUGAGACUUCACCUUCAACCCAAGCUUGAAAGGAAAUUAGCUACUCAUAAUUGAACUAGGGGCAAAAUGAAAAUUUAUUAAAAUACGAAGAAAAUACAAGAUGGAGAAGGAAUUACAGAAAAUGGAUCCCAAAAAUGGAUUCAGAGAUAUCAAAUUAGGGGGGGGAGGCCCCUUUUUUAUAGAUACAUGGAGUAAAUCAUGGCCAUCGGAUUAAAAACAGUUUGGACGCUCAGGAUUGCGCCACGUCAUCAGUCAACAGUCCACGGUUUGACCACGCGGAUGAACAGUAACACGGUUUGACCACGCGGAUGAACAGUAACGCGGUUUGGUUGAAAAUAAUCCUGUGUGAUGCAUGCACCGUACGCGAGAUUUUUCGUCCACUGAUAUGCUGCCACGUCACCAUCAACAGUACAUAAGAAUUUUAGUCCAACAGGAUCGUGACACCUCAUCAGUCAAUGCCACAUCAUCGGUCAAUGCCACGUCAUCGAUCCGUCUAUGUGAACAGUGUCGUGAACAGUAACGUAGACAGUACCGUAUACGUGAAUAGUACCGUACAUGUGAAUAGUGCCAUUUUUCUUUUUAUGCCCCUCCUAAGGUUUUCGACCGUCCUGAGUUCAAAAGUGAUGUCCGUUUUGCCAUCUGAUCUCUCCUUUAUUGUGAAAUAACUAUAAUGCCCCUAAAAUACAUAAAAUACUUAAUUAAAAUAAAACACAUGUAAUUAAAUCACAAGAAGGUUAAAUACAUAAAAGUAAGGGUUGUUAAUAAGACUUGAAAUGUAAAAUGACGGUUUUCUCCUUUAUAAAUAUGCAUUUUCUAACACUCAACACUAGUGAGGUUCCAUUUAGGUGUAUUGGGGUUGUGGGUUUUGUGAGUUUUUUCCACUUUUGUAAAUUCUCAUUAUUAGUAAAAUUAUCUUCCAAUCUUUGCCCGUGGACGUAGGCAUUAUGCCGAACCACGUAAAUUAUUGUGUUUAUAUUUUCUUUGUAUUUGUUUGGCACAUUUAUAUUUCUCCAAAAGUUACAUUCAUCGUAAUAUUGGUAAUUGCUCAACCUCGCACUUCCGCAACAAUUGGUAUCAGAGCAGAAGGUUCGUGCUUGGGGCAUACAACAUUGUUCACGUAUACGGAACUGUUCACAAAUACGGUAUUGUUCACGUAUACGGUAUUGUUCAUUGAUAUGGUGGAGAUGGUCAUUUAUACUUGGGAGACAGUCUAUUGAAAGUAGUGUGUAUUUUUUCAUGUCUAGGAAAGUCCUGUCAACAAGGCGAUAAAAGCUUAAGGAGUCUGGUUUUAAGUGGGACCGUUGUGACCCCUCCAUUCUCCUAGGAACUUUCCUGGUGCAUUUAUUCAUGCGAAAUAAAUAUCAUAGAGGCUAUUUUUCAAGUGUAAAUAGUUGUUGAAGAAACUGAUCAUUUGAGAUAAAAAUGAUGGCAGAGGCAUCGUCGUCGUCGUCGUCUUCAUCAGCAAGGACUACUGUGACUAAUGCAAAGUUUGAAGUGGAGAAAUUCAAUGAUACCAAUAAUUUUGGUAUGUGGCAAUGUGAGGUGUUGGAUGUCUUAUGUCAGUAAGAGUUGGACGUUACUCUUAAAGAAAAGCCUGACAUAAUGGAUGACAAGGAGUGGAUAAAGAUCAAUAAACAGGUAUGUGGUACUAUUCGCCUAUGUUUGGCUAAAGAUCAUAAAUACUUUGUUAUAAAGGAGACAUCGGCAAAGAAAUUGUAGGAGACAUUGGAAGAAAAAUAUAUGAAGAAAAGUAUAUAAAGAAAAGCCUUAAAAAUAAGCUUUAUAUGAAGAAGAAACUUUAUCUAUUCACAUAUACACCUGGCAUGUCGAUGAAUGACCAUGUAAAUUCAUUCAACAAAAUAUUGGCAGAUUCACUAAAUUUGGAUGAGAAAUUUGAAGAUGAAGAUAAGACACUGUUGUUUUUUAAUUCCCUUCCUGAUGAAUAUGAUCAUCUCACUACCAAUUUGCUUCAUGGGAAGGGCAGUGUCACAUUCGAUGUUGUAUGCAGUGCAUUGUAUAACUCUAAGAUCAGAAAGAAAGAUAGAAAAGAUCACAGAGAUACAGUUGUAGAAGCAUUAACAACUAAAAGUCGUUCACAAGGCUGUAAACUUGGAAAAAGAAGCAAGUCUAAAGGGAGACCUGCCAAAGAUGAGUGUGUUUUUUGUCGCGAGAAAGGACAUUGGAAAAAGAAUUAUCCUAAGUUACAAAAGGAUAAGGCUUCUUCUUAUGCAUGUGUAGCAGAGUAUGAUGAGGAGUCAGACUUUAGUCUGGUUGGCAUGACGUUGACAUGUUACUUAGAUGAGUGGUUUUUGUAUUCGAGUUGUGCUUAUCAUAUGUGUCCUAACAAGGGUUGGUUUUCUAACUUCAAGGAGCUGGACGGUGGAAUUGUUUUUAUGGGCAAUGACAAUGCCUGUAAAACCUUGGAAAUAGGUACAAUUCAAUUAAAAAAUCGUGACGGUUCAAUCAAAGUCUUGACGGAUGUUCACUACAUACCAAGUUUAAAGAAAAAUCUCAUCUCAUUAGGAGUCCUAGAAUCUAAAGGGCUCACAAUCACUCUGAGAGAUAGAUUAUUAAAGGUAGUAGCUGGCACACUAACGGUGAUGAAAGACACAAGAAGAAAUAACUUGUACUAUUUUCAAUGGAAUACAAUUAUUAGAUCAGCAUCAACAGUUUUUGGAAGAGAUGCAGAUUCAGAAGCAACCAAGUUGUGGCAUAUGCGUUUGGGACAUGCUGGUGAAAAAUCUUUACAGACUCUAGUGAAGCAAGGCUUAUUGAAAGGUGCAAAUUCUUACAAAUUAGAAUUUUGUGAACAUUGUGUUUUAGGCAAGCAGACAAUGGUAAUGUUUAGUUCAAUAAUUCACGAUACAAACUUCCUCGGGGGAGCAUUAAAACCUUCGAGCAGAUGUGCCAGGAAUUUGCAGAGCAGUUUCGUGGGGCAAUGGCACCAGAAGAUGCCAUGAUGGAAUUGAAAAACAUGAAGCAGGGGGAAUAAUAAACACUUCGGGAAUUCAUCAAGAGGUUUUACCAUGUUGUCCUUGAUUUGGGAGCCUUCAACCAUCCUCAGGCAUUAAGGGGACUGAAAGAAUGGGUGAAGAUAGGAAGACUGUGGUACAACUUGAGAAGCCCAGUUAUUCAGACGUACGCCGCCGCAUACAAGCAGGCUAAGAGGGACAUUGAGAUUGAAGUGGAAAAGGCAGCACGGAUCAAGACAGACCAGUUAGAUGGGUUGGGGAAGAAAGAGAAGAAAGCAUUGCCAGGGAACGGGCCGAUCAGGAGGAGAGACCUUCAGGCCUCAAGUAGUGGAGCAGGAGAUCGGGUAACUACUGGCCAUCCUCAUCAGAGGCCACCACAGUAUCGGCGCAGCAGGGCGCAACCUCCUCGUUCCCCAGCUAGGGAGCCUUGGAGAAGCCAUGACUCGGCAUAUGGUGGUCUUCAUCAACACUCCCACGGUAGUAGGGGGCAGACCAGAAGUGCUGCCACCGCCUCCAACUCAGAACGGAGCAAAUAGAGAAAAAGCAGUGCACCUGAUCGACCAGAACCAGGACUAUGGGCAGUACACUUCCUUAAAGAUGUUCCUGGACGAGGUGUACGAGGCCAUAAAGGAUCGAGGGUUGCUAUACCUCCCUGCCUCAAUAACAAAACUACCCAGCAGGAGGGAUAAGGGACGCUAUUGUAAGUUCUAUGGCGCGCAUGGCCGUACUACAACAGAAUGUAGAGAUCUAAAGACCCAGGUCGAAGAUUUGGUGAGAAAUCGAUACCUGGACGAGUUUAUAGAGGGGACUUUCCCGAUGGUGGCCUCGACAUGCGAGGGGGAGCAGAGUGGCAGAAAUUUGAGGCACGAGUAGCCUACAGUAAGGGUGAUUGCUGGGGGCCCGACAUUGGCUGGAGAUUCCAACAGAUCUAGGAAGAACUAUGCUAGAUACGCCAUGACUAGUAAAGAGGUAUUCUUCAACACCCCGGCAGCCAAACGAGCAAGAGUCAGGCAAGUGCCAAUCAUGUGGACAGACGAGGAUGAAAAAGGGAUUUUAUACCCACACGAGGAUGCCUUAGUCAUCAAGGCCACUGUUGCUAGCAGGAAGUUUGACCGGAUACUAGUCGAUAUAGGAAGCUCGGUUGAUGUGUUGUUCAAGUCCACUCUAGAGGAGAUGAGAAUAGCAGACCUGAGGUUGGAGCACACCAACACCUCCUUGAAGGGAUUUGGAGGAGGAAAGCUGGUCCCCCUGGGUGUGGUCGAGCUGCCUAUCACAAUCGGAAGCUCCCCGACAGAAAGGACUAUGAUACUAGAUUUUGUGGUGGUUGAUGAAGAGGGUCCUUACCAGAUAAUCCUAGGUCGGCUGUUUCUGAGGAUGAGUAAAGCAGUACUGUCCAACCAUUAUCUUGCUCUCAAGUACCGGGUGAAUGGGGUAGUUGGAGUGGUACGAGGAGACCAGAGAAUCGCACGAAGCUGUUACUCCUCGGCAGCAAAGGAAUCGAUACAGAUAACAUCCCUUGAUACCCGAGUGAAAGCCAGGAAUGGCAACUUAUUGGACUCGGAGUUUACAAGCUGGUUCGCAAGGACGGCCACGAGGUGAAAUGCCCAUGGAACGCAGCACACCUCCGAAAAUACUUCCAGUAAGACUUGUUCACAUUUGAAAGCUAUUUCUGCUCGUGUUCAUUAUCGUUUAUCUUUUAUGUUUUAUAUCCAAACAAUUUCAUGUAAGUCGAAUCCUGCCAUUAAUGGAACGUCGAGGAAUUUCAUUCGCUUGAAACUGUGAAAAUUUCCUAAGGCAUGCAAAGGCUCGUCAAGUCUCAAAGCCUGUUUAUGGCGAGACCAGAAGCCAAGCGUGCCAGGAUCUGCUCGGCCACGAGAAGGCGAGCAGAAUCCCAAGCUUUGAAGAAAUUACCUAAGGCAUGCAAAGGCUCGACAAAGUCUCAAAGCCUGUUUAUGGCGAGACCAGAAGCCAAGCGUGCCAGGAUGUGCUCGGCCACGAGAAGGCGAGCAGAAUCCCAAGCGUUGAAGAAAUUACCUAAGGCAUGCAAAGGCUCGUCAAGUCUCAAAGCCUGUUUAUGGCGAGACCAGAAGCCAAGCGUGCCAGGAUCUGUUCGGCCACGAGAAGGCGAGCAGAAUCCCAAGCGUUGAAGAAAUUACCUAAGGCAUGCAAAGGCUCGUCAAGUCUCAAAGCCUGUUUAUGGCGAGACCAGAAGCCAAGCGUGCCAGGAUCUGUUCGGCCACGAGAAGGCGAGCAGAAUCCCAAGCUUUGAAGAAAUUGCCUAAGGCAUGCAAAGGCUCGACAAAGUCUCAAAGCCUGUUUAUGGUGAGACCAGAAGCCAAGCGUGCCAGGAUCUGCUCGGCCACGAGAAGGCGAGCAGAAUCCCAAGCUUUGAAGAAAUUAUCUAAGGCAUGCAAAGGCUCGACAAAGUCUCAAAGCCUGUUUAUGGCGAGACCAGAAGCCAAGCGUGCCAGGAUCUGCUCGGCCACGAGAAGGCGAGCCGAAUCCCAAGCUUUGAAGAAAUUGCCUAAGGCAUGCAAAGGCUCGACAAAGUCUCAAAGCCUGUUUAUGGCGAGACCAGAAGCCAAGCGUGCUAGGAUGUGCUCGGCCACGAGAAGGCGAGCAGAAUCCCAAGCUUUGAAGAAAUUACCUUAGGCAUGCAAGGGCUCGACCAAGUCUCAAAGCCUGUUUAUGGCGAGAUCAGAAGCCAAGCGUGUCAGGAUCUGCUCGACCACGAGAAGGAGAACAGAAUCCCAAUCAUUGCAGAGAUUACCUAAGGCAUGCAAAGGCUCAUCAAGUCUCAAAGCCUGUUUUAUGGCGAGACAGAAGCCAAGCGUGCCAGGAUCUGCUCAACCACGAAAAGGUGAGCAGAAUCCCAAUCCUUGAAGAAUUGAAGGCAUGCAAAGGCUCGUCAAGUCUCAAAACCUGUUUAUGGCGAGACCAGAAGCCAAGCGUGCCAGGAUCUACUCGACCACGAGAAGGCGAGCAGACUCCAAAGCAUUCGAAAAAAUUCCUAAGGCAUGCAAAGACUCACCAAGUCUCAAAGCCUGUUUUAUGGCGAGACAGAAGCCAAGCGUGCCAGGAUGUGCUCGACCACGAGAAGGCGAGCAGACUCCGAAGCAUUCGAAAAAAAUUCCUAAGGCAUGCAAAGGCUCACCAAGUCUUAAAGCCUAUUUUAUGGCGAGACAGAAGCCAAGCGUGCCAGGAUCUGCUCAACCACGAGAAGGCGAGCAGACUCCGAAGCAUUCGAAAAAAUUCCUAAGGCAUGCAAAGGCUCACCAAGUCUCAAAGCCUGUUUUAUGGCGAGACAGAAGCCAAGCGUACCAGGAUCUGCUCGACAACUAGAAGGCGAGCAGACUCCGAAGCAUUUGAAAAAAUUCCUAAGGCAUGCAAAGGCUCACCAAGUCUCAAAGCCUGUUUUAUGGCGAGACUAGGAGCCAAGCAUGCUAGGGUCUGCUCGACCACGCGAAGGCGAGCAGAAUCCCAAGCAUUGAAGAAUUUUCAAAGGCAUGUGGCAAAACCAUGUGCCAAGCCAGAACCUGCUCGACCAGACAAAGACGAGCCGAUUCUCAAACGAAAAAUAACUCAUGAUUACGACACAAGAAAGUAAUCAAAAAUAUUUUUAUUAAUUUGUUAAUAAUUAACAGAGGAGAUAAUCUUCACAAACAUUGUUCAUUACAAUACAAGAAACAUAUUUAAGAAGAUGGUGGGUCCGCAAGCCGAGCAUCCUCAGUUAGAUGGUCCACCUCAGGUGCUGGGGGAGUAUCUCCAGUUGCGUCUGGGGGGGUACUCGCCUCACCAGCAUCAGCAGGGAUUACACGGGGAGGAGAGUUUUCCUCUUCUAUCACCAUUGGUGCCACCUCUUCGGCAUCCUCCUUUGCAGCCUCCUCGUCCAUAUGUUGGGCGACACCAGCUGCAAGGUCGUCCAUCUUUAGAUCAGGAUGCUGCUUCCCGAGGACGGCCAUGAUGCAACGAUAAGAAUGCCGAAGUCCCUGGUCGUACUGGUUGUCGGCCUCCUUCUCCAAGUUCUCGACCUGACCUCGGUGGGAAUCGCGGAGGGAUUCGAGCUGAGCCUCAUACAUAGCCUUCUGCCUUUGAAGAUCCUCCUUGACCUUGGCCAGCUCUUCCUCGAGAGUAAUAGCCUUGGCUUGAGCAAGAGAUUCUCGCUCAAUCAACUUCAGAUUCUCGAGGUUUAAGUCCCCUGCUUUCUUCUCAGCAACAUCAGCUCUGGUCGUCGCCGACUGAAUGUCCUCCUUCAUCUUCCUAUCAUAACGGCCAACCUUGGCCUUAUAGUAGGUGGUCAUGCAGCUGAGAUGGAAAGCGCUAUACUGCAUGGCCCCCACCAGCUCGCCUAAGGUGUAGCCAUCAAAGUCCUCGAGGUCCUUCUUGCUCACGAUUUUGGAAAGCUCGUUGAGAUAGGGGGCCAAGUGUUCUGCUCGGCUGUCAGGUAAACGAGAUCUAUGCCCGACAAGAGGCGAAGAGGAAGCAGGAUCAGUGGCUGCUCCACUGGUCUCGUCGAGUUUGGCAGAAAGAAGAGGUAAAGUCUUCAAGGGAGAGACCUGCUGCACGAUGUUGGCCCGCUUUGCAGUAGGGGCAUCCUUGUUCUGGUCCCUCUUCGUGGUUUGGGGUCGAGAACGUUUCCUGUUUAGAGCCCCAAUCACGGCGUCCUCCAUCUUAUGACCAGGGAGUAUCAAGCGAGACUCGAGCAAGUUGUAUGUAGUUAUCAGCUCCCGGCUCGAGCAGGAAUUGGCUAGCACAGCCUCGACCCGUUUGAGCUGGCCAGGUUUGAGCGAGAAAUGAACACCCCAAGAAACUACAACACAAACAGACACUUGGUUAGAGACAAACCAACAAAGCGAGAACAAUUACGGAUACAAGACAUCUAAAGCGAACAGGCAACCUGGGACCGUGAAACGGGGUGGAACGCGAUAAUCCUUCCCGUCUAUUUGUGCAACUUGACCCCAAGGACCCCCAGCAAAAAAGAAUUUCCUCUUCUAAUUCCCACCACCACCAGUAGGGAGGUCGGUUAUGGGUUUCCUGGUCUUGGUACUAGAUUGAAAGUAGUACCAGCCGGCAUCUUUGGGGCUGCUCUUUAGCUGGUACAGGUGCUUCACCUCAUCAACUGUGGACUCGCUUUGGCAACAUCUGUCCCACAAUAUGAACAGACCAGAAAGUACUCUCCAACCAUUUGGGUUCAGCUGACCAGGAGAUAGAUUCAGCCCGUUAAGUAUCCGGGCAAAGUAAGGUUGCACGGGACACCUCAGCCCAUACUUAAAACUAUCCAGAUACAGGGUAACGUAUCCCCUAGGAGGCCGGCUAGGAGUAUCCUUCUUUCCUGGGACCUUAAGAGGGAUUUCACCAGGAAUACUAUACCUAAGCCGGAGGUCAUUGAGCUCAUCAAACGUGGUUAUGCAUGUCAUGUAAUCAAUAGCGUAAUCCCGCGAUAGGGCUCUACCUCCUAUUGUACUCCGCCCUUCUGGUCGCGACGCUCCUGAUGGGGACACCUCGCCAGAAUCAUCUCCUCGGCCCUCACUCAGGGUGUUCUCCGAGCCAGAAGACCCCUCUUCAUCACUAUCUCUGCUCGAGGAGGUCGUUUACGGAGACAUCCUCCUAGCGCUAGUGCCGACACUAGAUCUAAUGGGCUCUAAGGGGAUCCCGGGGUCAAAAGCAGGAUCAGUGAGCAGACUAGGCAGGAAGUCCAACUCAUCGUCGUCAACCUCAAUGACCUUCUCUUUACCUUUCGACAUUCCCUAAACUCUAACCACAACACCACCACCAACUACUACCCGAACAAAAGAGAACAAAAAUUAUCUACAACUAUCCGAGACCAAGGAGAUAGAAGAAAUACCUGAAGUAAUGGUUCAGUCGGUGAAAGACAGAGAUGGAGGCCUUUAUGCCGGAACUUCUUUGCCGGAGAGACAGGGACGGAGACAGAGGGAAUGAUGAAUUUGCUGUUUGAAAGGAUUUAGGUUUCCUAAUGGGGACGGCCUCUUGGGUUGCCAGCAUUUAACGGCACCAAAUCCCAAGGGCCUCGUAACCGUUGGUUUGAAAUUCGAAUAGAGGGGCAGAUUUCUGCCACAUCACCUCGUCCGCAAUUAAAUGCGAUAUGACUCUUGGCAGCCUUUUCCAGUCCCACGCGACCAAGAACCGCUAAGUUUCUACUGCUGGUCCAUUACAUUACCCAACACCAGAAACUGGGGGACCGGUGUUUGAGGGAAAUACUCUGACGAGACCAGACGUGAUGAGCAGAUGUUUGGUGGUAGAAGUCUGCGAGCAGGUGUGUCCUGUAAGAGCCAGGUAGCAGGGGAACAGGGGCAGGAAUAUCCUGCUCAUCCACGAGCACGUCAUCCGCGAGGCCAAUUUCCUGUAAGAAGCAUAAAGCCAUUCCUGCUGUAUUCUUGCUAAGGGUUGAUUCGAGGAGACCCGGUCAACGACAGUUGGCGAGGCAUGCUCUCCAGCCCGAGAAUCUAGGCACGAAGGCCACGCAACCACCCACGACUACGGAAAUGGGGAAUCCACGUUCGAGAGGUGGGAGGAUAACGGACGUAGACUGCGGAAAACUGGGAUUCAGAGGAAGCCUAUAAAAAUGUAGCCAACGAAGGUAAAAUGGUUAGCAAUUUUGAGAUUAGAAGGGAGAUAAAGAAAUUCUAAAGAAGAGAAAACUACCCAAAAGCCAUAAGAUCUGUGGCAAGCGUUCCCCGAACCUUCAUAUCUGACUUGAGCGUCGGAGGGUUUGCGUCGGGAAAACAACCGGCGUACUCUGACUUGUCUGUGUGCGCAGGAACCUCUGGAGAAGAAGCUUUACGAGGAGAGAUCCUGGUCGUGGUGAAGUUGAUCGAGCAGAGACCCUGGUCGUAGAACGAGGAGAACCAGAAUCUCGCAUCAACAAAACGUGUAUUUCAACCUGAGUACUAGCGAUUACCAGUGACUGAUUAACACUUGUUUUAAUUGUAUUCAGCAGUCAUAAAAAUUUACUUUUUCUUGUUAUUUAUUUAUACCACACAUUUUGACUACCACAAACUUAAGUUGCUUGGCUGACGUAUUUACCACAAAUAAAAACUAACAUUCGAGGUUUUUCUUUCGACAUUUCUAUAGAUGUUUUAACAUUUUAGAUUACAAUAUUUUUCAAAACUUGAUUUAGUCACUGAUUGUUGACUACGACGACGACAAAAAAUCUAUUUCGUUGUGAAAAGGAAUCCACAAGAGUACAAGACGGAGCCUUGAUCCAGUAAUAUUACGGAAAAUGGUAUUUUGUUUCCUUACAAAUGAAGAGAGGUUCUGUCUUUGCAGUGGGUAAGGUGAGGGUAUAGAACAUAUUAAUGGCUUUACUUAUCAUCAUCAACUUCCUUCUGUGUCUCUCAAUCUUUGUCUUCUUCUUUGUUUUGCAAAGGAACAUAACCUCAAGAAAUAAUACUAAAUUACCACCAGGCCUCCGGGGCCUUCCUUUCAUCGGUAACGUGCACCAGCUUGAUGUCUCAAAGCCUCACGUGUUAUUUUGGGAACUGUCAAAAAAAUAUGGCCCCCUCAUGUCCUUGCGUCUUGGGUUUUCGCCAUCCUUAGUAGUUUCCUCGGCGAAAAUGGCUAAAGAGAUAUUACAAACCCAUGACCUUCAAUUUUGCAGCAGGCCAGCCUUGGUAGCACAACAAAAGUUAUCUUACAAUGGUCUUGAUUUAGCGUUUUCACCCUAUGAUGAAUAGUGGAGAGAGAUAAGAAAAAUUUGUGUCAUUCAUCUCUUUAACUCUAAUAGGGUACAAAAUUUUCGACCCAUUAGAGAAGAUGAAGUUUCAAGAAUGAUUGAAAAGAUUUCAAAAUCAGUUGGUGCUUCUAAUCCCGUAAACUUAAGUGAGGUAAUGAUGUCUCUUACCAGCACCAUUAUUUGUAGAAUUGGUUUUGGCAAGAGGUACGAUGAAGAUAAAGCAACAAGUGGAAGAAGUAGAUUCCAUGCCCUGCUUAAUGAAACUCAAGCCUUGUUUGUAAGCUUUUUUGUUACAGAUUAUUUUCCUUUCAUGGACUGGAUUGAUAACCUCAGAGGAAUGAUGAAACGCCUGCAAAAUAACUUCCAAGAACUCGAUGGAUUCUACCGGGAACUCAUCGACGAGCAUUUGGAUCCAAACAGAACUAAAUCAGAAUUGCCGCAACAGGAGGAUAUAAUUGAUAUUUUACUUCAAAUAAGAAAAGAUCGUGGAUUUAAAGCUGACUUGACUUUGGAUCACAUCAAAGCAGUGCUCAUGGUGAAUAAUUUUAUAAAUAGUUAUAUGUAGACCGGUGCUUAGGCACAGACUCAAAAUUUUGCGCAGAUACCCAAUUUUACAGUCUUGUAAAAUGUUUUAUAGUGCUGUCAAGUGCUCUCUGAUGUCCCCAUCUGAGCACGAUUAACUUAAUAUAGUUUUAUUUGCUUUAACUAAUCUUAUAUGUAUAUAUUUAUGUUCUUUUUUUUUUAAUUUGCUUUUUUAAGUAAUUUAAUAUGUAUAUAUGUAUGUUGUUUGUUUGGCAGAACG